rnacentral:lncRNA from 1 species
UAGGCCACAGCUACCUGGUAACUGACGACGCUUAAGCCGCAAUGGUGUAGGUGGCCACAGACUAUGCUGCGCUGAAACUGCGGUGCCGGGUCACAGGCUUCAGUUAAAUUGGCAACAACAAAAGAAGAAGAAAAAGAACCCCUCUUUGCUAAUAACCGUAUCGGUACAAUUCUACAAGACACAAGCAAAGUCAUUGAUGUACAACAAAGUCCAAGAAGAGUAGAGACGAGCAAAAUCGACGAAGAAGCGAGAAAGAAGUGCACACUGUCCAAUUACAUGAAGGAGCAGCAGAAGUCACACGAACUAGAGACUAAACUCCCUGCCUAACUCAAAACCAAGCCAUCGAUCGACUCCUCUACAGACAACUACUGCCCGCCCUAGUGUGAAUUCCCACUCUUGCCCUUGCCCUCGUUGUCUACCACCACCGGUGAGUCCGGAUCGACCAGAGGCGGCGGGGGCGUCAGGUGGAAGGGCACGAGCUGGGCGGCGGCGGCCGGGUUGAAGGACCCGAACUUGGGCGUCGUCUCCGCCACCCCGGAGAAGCUCCGCGCGUGGAACGAGAACGACCCUCCCUCGCAGCCGUCGCCCUCGCUCGCCGCCGCCGCCGUCGCCCGGGGCACGCUCUCCAGCGCGGCCACGCGCGCGCGCCGCCGCUUCGCCUCGGGGCGCUCCUCCUCGCCUUCCGCCGGCGCGCCGCGCUUCUCGGGAGCCGGCGGGGGAGAGGGCGGCUCCUCCGCCUUCGCCUCCGCCGCCAGUGCCGCCAUUUCUCCAGGGAUCCCGAUCGGGCUCCUCCGCCGGGGCCAAGAGCUUCGAAGAAAGCUCGAAAGCUCGGGGAAUUUUCUUCCCGCACCUCUGCUCCUCCGAUCUGAGUGCCCGCGCGCGCUGACGGUGCUAGUGCGCUUGGCUCGGCACGCGCGUGGUGGGGAUCGCUCGGCUGGUCGCGGUCACAUGGGCGCUCUCGCUCUCGCUCUCUGGCUCUCUCAGACUCGGGCGCGGAUGAGUGACGUCACGCGGCGGGCAGCCCUGACACCGCCUUGCGCUCCACCGUUGUCGCGCGUGCGCGCCGAAAAGGACGUGACCCUGCUCCUGCGGGGCUCGCUCGGUCGCUCCCAACCCGUAGCGUAUAGGCCUCCUCGCCAUUCUUAUCGCCGUGAUCAGCUAGCUCAUCAUCCGUGGGCGUCAGGUCAGGUAGUGCCGACUAACUUUUGGAAUUCAUGGACACGUCAGGCAGGACAUCACAAGAUAACGUUCCCUGCGCUUGCUGAUUAAGAAGGGAUGGGCUUGCAAUUGCAAAUUUGCAAAAAAAAAAGAAGAAAAAGAUUAAGAAGGGACGGGACAUUUCACUUGGAUACGUAGUCUAAAUUGAAAAGGAGCAAUUGCAAGUUGCAAGAACUCAACAACUUUGGUUCAACCGAAAGAAACUUGGGAGUACUCGAAGAAGAAGGAUGUGUGCCUUCCCGUGUUUGAUCAAGGAAAGAGGGAGUUGAUCAUCUCUAUCAAGGCAACGAUUUGGGAUUCCAGAAAUCGUUGGGCGCAUGAUGAUAUGGGUUUCGAUGCGAUUAAGUCCGUGGAAACAAUUAUGGAAUCCGUAUCUGUGUUGGAGAAGAAAUCGGCUGCGAGCUCGGUGAGGCAGUCAGGACCGACUUGUACCCGGCAUGGUCCGCCUAUGGGGACUGCUAAAAUUAACGAUGAUGGAGCGAUUAAUGAAUCUGAAGGCCGGCAGCUGGCGGGAUGGUGAUUCGUGGAGGUAUUGGAUCCAUAGCAGCCUGAUGCUGCGUUUAUGAGAAGAUCGUUGAUCCUCUGGUCAUUGAGGCUUUGGCUCUGCGGGAUGCUUGUGCUUUUGCCAAGGAGAAGGGUUUUGCGCUGGUCAUCCUUGAAUCUGACCGUGCGGAUCUUGUGCAUCUUUGGGCACAGAGGAUUAAACAUUGAGCAGUAACUGUUCCUAUUUUUUGUGAGAUUGAGGAGUUGAGCCAAUGUUUUACUAGCUUUGAGAAUUUUUUUAGGCGCGAGGCGAAUUUCGUGGCUCUGUGCUAGGUUUGGAGCUUUGAACGGUGUCUCUGUAGAUUGGGCUGAUAGUGCCCCGAGUUUUCUUCAUCACAGUGUUAGAAGUGAUUGUAAGCAAGUGUUAGCGAGUUAGUAAGUUGGCUGUUUGACCUCAAAAAAGAAGAAGGAUGCAUUGCCUAAAAGAAAGCCCGUUGGGCAUGACCGGCCCAGAGUUAAAUAAGUGCCACAGGCUUCGAAACACUGUGGCCCAAAUUUCUCAAGCGUGGGUACUUUGUUGGUGUCGAAGGAAUGCAGAACCGGGCCAGAUUGUAUCGAACUGAACGCUUUCUGAUCCUCUAAAAACAAACCGAAUUUACCAUUCUGACUCUAAUCUUUACCAGCGAUUUCGGUGACAUGCGUGUCUCAAUGCAUAUGGUUGCUCGAACAUGCCUUGUGCUUAUGUGUCCUUUUGGUUCCCCCGUGCUCGAACUGAAAGCUAGUAGUACCACGCCAGAAUCAGAAUCAUUUGAUACAGAAUGCACAAACACUGGUCUCCGCAGAGGCAAAUGAAAGUACGCACGAGUUUGCGUUUCCAAAUCUCACCACAUAUUUGCCGCGCGCUUGUGCAGUUGUGCUGGUGUUACACAGGUGAUAGACUGAUAGUAACCAUUGUUGCAGAUACCGCUGGCCGAUGCUUGCCGCGGACUGCGGCUGCCGACCGACACUUGGAAUAAUCGGGAUUCCGUUAUUCUCAAAGCAUCGGCAUCGGAGAGAGGAGGCAUCUCUCACGACAUGAAAAUGCUCUAGGCGAGGUACGUCAAUUGUCUAACGCCGCGUCCAUGUCCGUCCAUUCCUUUCAUCGAGUAAAACAAGAGAAAUUCUACUCCAGCACACUGCUGUUCUGCAGGAUGCUUAAACGUGCACGUGUACGGCUCACAUUGCCGUCAAACAAAGGAUCUCUCCCCGCUCGACCGUUCAGCACGACGCGUGUCCCUACAGCCAAUCGCAUCACGCCACGCAACCCUAGAUAUUUUCCUUUGCCGGAGCAACACGUGUCCCGGCGGGUGACGCACCGGACCACCCCUGAAGUCCUGACCCGCACCGGUUUGGGGAGCGCACGAAACCAGAUCCCGGCCAAAUGAUUUGGCGACGUCGCCGUGAUGCGCGCCACGCGUCCCGCCGAGCAAGGCGGCGCCGGCGCGUGGCCCUGCAACCCCGGCCGUACAGCAACCGCUACCUGGCACGUGUCCGAGCCGCUGCCGGUCGCUUGAGUCGCCGGCACUCCGUUUGCCGCUGUAGAGCACGUCAGAUAAAGCUCGCAUGAUCUGUUUUGAAACGGACGGAAUUGCUUUUCUGAACGGACUCUGUAUGAUAUGGAUACGGGAUAAGAUAUGCAGUGUCUGCUCCAAGAUAUUUGUGACCGACGACGGCCUGUUGUUUACUCUGCAGUCUGUACCCGUAUGCGCAACAACGGCGCUGCCUGUCUGGGCAGAGCUGGAUCGGACCGAUCUUGCCCUGACAAGAAGUCCAUAUCGGCGCUGGUCAAGAACUCAAAAGAUGCAAGACAGACUUGACAGUCCACGAGUGGCACUGUAGUGUUGUUCGGUCCUUUCCUCCCUGGUGAUGCAUGGAAGCACGUACCGACGCACGCAUGGAGACAUGGAGUCCAGAGGAAUUUAGAGCGUGCCGAUGGGGAGAUAUUUAUCGGGAAAGUUCGGAUUUGGAUCGCCCAGGACCCAGGUGCCAACCACCGUAAGCAACAGCGGUUUGGUUGGUUUGGGCCCGAGCCGUCCAAUUGUCGCGCGGCCGCGGCGACACGAGGAGUGGUGGGCGGCUGGCCGGGUCAGGGAUCUCGGGUCCGUCCCGUGCCGUGCGUGCCAAGCGCGAGCGAGCUUACGUAUAUAACAGGCCACCGGCCGGCGCCGCCUCGAGCCCGAUUAGGAAACCCGUACGAGUAACCACGCGACGCACAGUCAGCUCACAAACACCAGAAGAUCAUAUCAGAUUGGGUCGGGCUUGCGCGGCAGCGGGGAGAAUGAGCGAAGGCACGCGGGAGAUGAGGCAGCUGCGGGGCGCGGCGGCGAGCAACGGCACCAAAUCGAGCGGGAGCGGCGCCGCCGUGGCUGCUUCGGACGAGUGGAACGGGGUAGGGCGCUGCAUCGGGGCGAGGAUCCGGGGAGUCAACGUGGGGAUCCUGGACGAGCAGGUGCUGGUGCUCGUGUUCCGGGCGCUCAACUGGGACCCGCAGGCGCUCUGCGCCACGGCCCGGGUCAGCCGCCGCCUCCGCGCCGUGGCGGAGCGCGUGCUGUGGCGGGAGCUCUGCGUCUCCCGCGCGCCGCGCAUGGUGUCCGCGCUCACCACCACGACUUCCGCGGGCGCGCGCAUCGGGGGCGGGUGGCCGGCCCUGGCGAAGCUGCUCCUCUUCUGCUGCGGCGCGGAGCGCGCCGCCGUGGUGGGCCACUUCGCGCCGGUGUCGCGCUUCUCCAAGACGUCCGGGCGGAGCUUCCUGUCGCGCCGCUGCGGCGGGGACCUGCUGUACGUGUCGGACCCCUGCGAGCACCCGGUGCCCGGCGAUGCCGAUACCGACGACGUCGUGGGCGCGUACCGGGGCGUGUUCCGUGGGUUCAUGCGGUCGCGCACGCGGGCGCGCCUCGUGGGCGGCCGGGCGCCGCUGGAGCCGCGCGUGCGGUGCCCCUACUGCGGCGCCCGCGUCUGGAGCAUGACGGCGGCGGGGCUCGCGCCGCGCAGCGCGUGCCAGCGCCUCGGCGCGCACGAGGGACGCCUCGAGUACUUCGUCUGCGUCAGCGGGCACCUCCACGGCAGCUGCUGGCUUGCGCGGCUCUCUUCCUCCUCCUCCAGCGAGGGCGAAGACGAAGGGAAAGGGAAAGGGAAAGGCAGAGGCCGGCGCGGCGGCAGUGGCGUCUCUGACUCGGACGACGACGACGCGUUCGCUGCUGCUGCUGCCGUCGACAGCGACGAGGACGGCGGCCGCAUGGAGCUGUAAAGUCAAGAGUAGUGUUUAGUUAGAGCCGCAUGACAUGAAGUUGUACUAGAAUCUUUCUUCUUCCGUUUGUUCUGUUCUGUAAGCUGGAGAUUAAAUCUGGUGCGUGCUGCGGUGUGUGCUUCAGAAAUCGCAAUCGACUUUGUGCAGCUGUCUUUUUUACCGGUUCAGACGAGGCGCGAGCCGCGAGCCCGCCUUGCAUUGCGCUUCCGAGUUCCGACCGCCGUCCGUACCCUCACCCUUUACGGCGAGGGUCACACGCGUGUGGGGGAUCUCUGAUUCCAUUUUGGUUGACCCGAUCUGACGAGUGACUUCCGAAGUUCCGAUCUGAAUCCGGUGGCUUUGUCCGGGCCAAAUGCACGCGCAUCUACCACGCAACUACGGUCUGCAAUGCUGAGAGGUAGUAGAAACGAGCUACGCUGUUAAUCACAAGGGAAACCUUCGAUGAAUUGAUGCCUCGCGGUGGCAGGAUUUGGGCUGUCAUGGGCGGAAGAGGGGAAGGCUCGGAGCCGGGGACUGUCGUACUCGAAAUUCAGAAGUUUCAGACCAGAGUGCCUCGUUCCUUUCCUGUAUCUCUCCCUUUCAUAAAGAUUGUCGUGACUUUGAAACAGCCAUAGUUCAAAGCCGCGACAAUCUUUAUGGCACAGAGGUAGUAGAUUUGUACAUGCAAUUCAGAUUUGGUUGGAACGUGCGUGAUUCCAGCCGGCAGCCUGCAGGUAAUCAAGCUAGGCAUCCAAGAAAUUUCUGGCACAUUUCGGUAAACUAUCUCUGAAUCCCGUUACAUCCUUCCACCCAAGCGCAAAAUCCCUAAAUUCUGUAACAUUUGCUCAGCUAGUAAGCUGGCUACUUAACUUGCUGUGGUGCGACAGAAAGGAUUAAGGUGAUGCAGUACAAGUAUUUGUGCAGUGGUAAUCAGGGAUUACUGCCACUUAGACCUACUACAAAACGCGCGGCAGAGGCGUAGUAGGUUCCAGACUUUGUAACAGCAGCCAAGAGAUGAGAUCUCCUGACUGAUUGAUCGCGUAACGACACAUCUACAUGCUAAAAGUUUUCGUAACAAUCUACAUGUUACAAGUUAAUACUUCAACCCCAGCUCUAUACCACACGGUAUCAUAAGAUAAGCAUGAGAAAAUAGCUCGUGUUGGAGCGUUACAACAAAACACGCUGCAGGUCUCGUCCUCGGCAGAAAGGAUAAUAAUAUGACCUGUUGGUCCGUUUGCAGUUUGCCUUGCGUUCGAAGUGAUCAAAGUGAUGUUGUAGCUCAUACGCACACUAGCUUCGAAUAUGGUCCUCCUAGUCCUAGUGGAUAAUGCCCACAUGCGCUUUAUUACUAGGGAAUGGCAAAAGGGCAAAAGCAGCAAAAGGCUUGCGUAGUUUCGCACAUAAACAACCUGUUGCGUGGUGUCGCAUGCACCAAACAGGGCGAGCGAUUUGCUCGUAAGCAAUCUUAGGAGCGAUUGCUCUGGCUGUUCGGUCCCCAGAAAAGGCAGCAACUAGUAGGAACGCAACUCCCAAAAUUCUGGUAUCAAUACUUCUCAAAUCGGAUAGAAUAAUCUACUUACUAAGCACAUACUCCAGUUCUUAACCGGGUUAAUUACAAGCUAAGUAAUCCCCUAUUGUGGCUGCUUUGAUGUCUCCGGCGCAGGUUAAAAACAACACUAACCUGCCCCAACACUGCGCCACCAACAAGUCCUUGUAAAACUUUGAAGCCAAAAUAUUGGGUAAACAUGCCUCAAGUCCGAAGGCAUAAUAUUAUGCUUCCAAAACAAACCAUUUAUGCUGCCUUCAGCUUGCCACUUGAUUAGUUUAAUAACACCAAGACAGAUUCGGACGACCAAAAGUACGAACCAAUCAGUGAAGAUCAAGCGACCGGGACCAGGAGUUUCAGGCUACAUUUAUGAAGAAAGGAAACCCUACCAUCAAACCUCAAUUUCUGCUAGGAUUGUAAGAUUAGUACUCCACUUAUGUGAUGGAAUGCACAAAGCGACAGGGAGUAGGAAGGGAGCAGGAGUACCAUACAGCCCACGGUCGUUCAAGUGAUAAAGACAACUAUGAAUUAAUACAACUCAGCUACCAAACAUGCUUAACUACACAGUUCAACUACUGGUGAGGGCAAAUAAACUGAGAAGCUGAAUAAUAAUGCUUCCCCUCAGCAAGCAAAUGAAUGUCAAAUGAUGAUCAUGCAAGAAAAUGGGAGGUCCCAAUCCCAUGACAUGAUUCUAACUCAGAGCAACGAACUGCUAGAGAAACUUAAGUCGUGUAAACAUGCAGAUGACACACAAAUACAAUGCGAGCUAGAGAAAAGGAAGUCGUGUAAACAUGCAGUUGAUACAAAAAUACAAUGCUUUGCUAGAUACCAAAUGCUACUUUCUCAUGUCAUACUUCUGAAAUCUGAAUGUGUGACAAUGGAACUGAAGCUACCGUAUCCGAAUCCAGUGACAAACAAGUAUAAACAGCUGGCCACUAGAGAUGCACCGUUAGGUGUAAAAUGAUCAAGCAAAGAUUCACACAGAUGCAACAAAAACAAUGCAUAGAUCAAACAUCUAACAGAUGCAACUACAGAAUAUAGAUUACAGUAAGCUCAUUAUAUAUAGAAGAUAACCACCAAAGUGAAUACCGAUACGCAGUACAUUUUUACCUAGGCUACUUGAACAAAUAAAUAGGCAAUGAGCGAGCGGUGGACAGAAAAGCGAAAAUAAACAAAAAUGACAGGGUAACAUAACUGUUUCUUCUAGCCCUCCAGAAGCAGGUUUCAAGUGCAAGUAUUCCCUAAACCAAUAAAUUCUCUUGAUUUGCUCUUCAGAUCCAACUAAAGUUAAAGGAGCAAAAGAACGAAACCGGCAUCCACCUCCUUGAAAGCAACCGUAGACCAAACUACAGUCUUUGCACUUUGCACCAGAUUCCCUGUCCAACACCCAUCAUAAUUAGAACCACGAAAGAUACAUUUCAAGGAAACAAACCAAUUCAAGUAUUUUCAUGGUUUAUCACGUAACAUUAUAGAGUCCGACAGCAGGCAGUUGACUAAUUGCUACAGGUGAAUCUAUUUGAUUGUUGACACAAGAAAAGUAGAAAGAUGGCAAUUUAAUUGUGCCAAAGCAUUUCCAAUUGAUCUUUACCACUUCUCUAGUUGAACAAAAAAUACAGGUGGAACUACAUCGCAAUUUUCAUCUUGUCAAUGUCGAAAUCACACAUUUCUCCAAAUUUAUUCCUCUUCGUCCACAAAUCAAGGAGCUAUAUAGUAAACAUAAUCUGCAUGUAAUUGACAAAGAUCACACAAAUGGAUUUAGAACCAACCAAUGUGGGCAUGCCAGGAUCGAGUCUGGUGCUCUAUGCCUGGUUGUCGCUCUUGCGAUCACUGUGCUCACGCUCCUGCAGCAGCGAGCCAGCCUCCUCAUCAGCCUGCGCGGACUUCUUCUGCGCCUCCUUGGCCUUGAGGGCCUGCAGCUUGAUAUGGUUGUAGUAAGCCACCCCCAAGAAGGCGAUCCCGUAGCCGAACAGGUUGAUAGGGGUGACCGUGUCCCGGAUCACGGACCAGGAGAAGGCAAUCAGUAGCCAGUCCUUUACUACUCCGGCGACAUUCAUGGUCAGCGCAGAGGUCUUGCCAACGAGCAGGAACACGGCCAAGUUAAGCGCAAAGGCGCAGAGGGAGUUUGUCCCGAACACAAAGAAGUCCGGCUGGAACGUCCCGACCGCACGCAGCCUGGGCAGCUCGACGAAGAUCCAGGGCACGAGCAGGAAGCCAAGGCAGCAGGGCGCGACAUAGUAAAGCGAGGUGAUUGGGUUGAGCGAGAUUCCCUUGGAGGUGAGCAGGAUCUGGAUGAGCACGAGCCGCGUGGCCUCAAAGGCGACGGCGGCGAGCUGUAGCGCGACGCCGCGGACGUCGAAUCUAGCCUCGCCAUAGGCGGCGAUGGCGACCCCAAAGGAGAUGGAGAGCAUGUUAAGCAUGGAGGAAGACCUGAAGGUCUCCUUCUUGAAUAGCACGCCGAUGGAGUAGACGGCGACGGGCAUGAGCGCCUUGAGCAUCUGGAUAAAAGACACGGAGAGGUAGAUGUAUGCGGAGUUGGAGAACCAGAGCGACAUGGCGUAGAGCGCGCCGAUGGGGACGACGGAGGAUGUGUAGAGCUGCGGCGUCAUGGGCGGCGAGGAGGGCGGCUCGACGACGCGGAGGACGCGGACGAGGCCGACGGCGAGGGAGGAGCAGAAGCUCAUGUGCACCAUGGUGAGCGAGAUGGGGAAGGGCCAGUUGUACAUCUUGGGGUCGAGGAUGUACUUGUUGUAGACGAUGACGGCGAAGGAGAGGAAGAUCCAGACGGCCACGUAGCAGUAGGAGAGGAGCACCUUCCGGAGCACCGACUCCGACAUGCCGCCGGCGCCCCCGCCGCCGGCCAUGGUUGCUCCUGCGCGGCCGGGUGGUGGCGGCGGCGGAUCUGGAUCCGGGGGGUCGGGGCGCGUGGGGGAGACGCGGUGGACUCUGCAGGAGGAGGGGAGGAGGCAGAGGCGGAUCUGAGGAUUUGGGGACAGGCGAGGGGAGAGGAGGUGGGGAUGGGGGGUUUAGGUGAGGGCAAGCUUGGACUGGGUGCGGUGGCCACGUGGAAAAUUGCGUCGUUCCGAUGGGGAGCACUUUGACUUGUCUUUCGUUUUUGGUUUUCCAGCUUCUUCUUUUUCUUUUUCUUUCAGGAACUAAAUCCACUGUGACGUUGACACGGUGCUGUAAGGACGAACGUGAACUGUCAUGCGAUGCGUUUUUUCCCCCUUCUUCUGGUGGAACUCAUUGUGUGACAUGGUCAAUGAGCCGGGCGAGGACAGAUUAUGGUAAAUCAUAUUGAGUUGGUGCCAUAUGGAAAAGGAUGGAAUGACACGAUUAUUUGGUUUAUGUCAGAUAGCGCCAAUAAUAAAUUACAGUUGACAGGUUCUAGCUUGUCGGCGGGGCUAAAACCGUGAUGACGUAGAUGGCGGAAAAAAAACGAGACCUCAUGCACAGUGGUUAAGGGCGGAUAACCUGUCAUUAUGGUUGGGAAUAAGGGUUUAAGGGUUAGAAAUGGAGCAUUGGUGGUGUUUGAGCAACAAUCUCGACCAUUGAACCUUAGCCUAUAGGAUGGCUGAAAUGACGUCCAACUUUGGUGCUACGGUAGAAUAAGGCAUGGAUGAAUAAGGGCACAAGCAUGUAGCUGCUGCCUGUGCUGUCCAUGCGGGAGAUUACCCAAGAUUGGAAUUUGGUUAAAUAAACCUAAUCAGCCGAAAUAAACCUUGUCAAUUGGCGUGAGAGAAAAUAGCAAUGAAUAAAUGCUUACCUAAUUUUCUUCAUUAUAUAUUGGUAUUUUUGGCUCUUGAACGCUCAAAUUAAAUCUCUUCUUCCUUGUCGGUGGCCGUUUUGUUAGCAAAGAGUAUUCUUGUCCAUUGUCUUAAUUUUUAGUCAGUAGAUAAGUUUUGUACUCCCUCCGUUUCUAAAUACUUGUUGCUGUUUUGCACUAAAACAACGACAAGUAUUUAGGAACGGAGGGAGUAUAUCUCAGUAAGCUUGCGUGCCACACUGUUAAACCUAACAUUUUGCAUCGUGUCUCCUCGGAAAAGUAUAAAAUAUAAUAUUCACUUGAAGGGUUGUGAUUUAGGAAAACAUUAGUGUAUUUUUAGUGUAUAAGUAAAUACAUGGUGGAUUAGUGGAGAUUGGUGGACUUACGGUUCUAUCGUUGACAUGAUGGGCAAUCUUAAACGGAAGCAACGACAUGAAUGCAGGCAGAUUGGUGGAGAUUGAUGCAGAUUGGCAAUCUUGAACAACAACAGUGACAUGAAAAAGUUCUGUUUACGAGGAAUAAAUGAUGUGAGAUGUUGAGAAAGUACAUAAGAGUGUUGCUACAUGAGAGGGUUUGUCGUGUAGAAUUACAUAAUCCAUUAUUAGGAUUACAAUUAAAUUAUGCGAAGUCUGUUACUGCGCAUGAGGUUUGUUUUUAAAGUUGGCCUAGUUCGUUAUUUGUUGGCAGUUUACAGUACCGAGUACUCCACUCUAGCAAAAAGGGAGUGUCAGCGAAGAAUAUUAUAGGCACAUUUUUAACAUCAUAAGGUCCGCAUACAAGUAUUAGUAUACUGAAAAAUUAUAAUUAGUAAAAUAUCCUUGUGUUAUCUUGCGAUUUAUUCUUUUCUUUUACCUAAUGUUUGCUUGUUUUAAUGGGGGUACUCCAUACAUUUCUAUUGGAGUAUUUUGGAGCACCGAUCAAUAUGGAACCUUUGAUGAAAGAAAAUUGAAAUUUAAUAUUCAUAUUUAUUUCAGGAAUUGUAAAAGAGUUCAUUUGUCUUAUGCGUUUAUUUUAUUUGCCAACUGAAUAUCACGAAGGUUUGGCGAUCUCUUUCCAAAUCUUUAGACAGCUUUGUAUAGCACGAUCAGGUCAUCAUUGUUAGGAUUAAAUUGAUUGAAUUGCAUUUGCUUCCUUGUAGAUCUUGUAUGAUUGUCCAUAUAUAAGCCGGGAGAAAACAUGCCAUCAUCGGAAACACCAAAUCUAUUAAGGAAUAAGUAGUAAAAGCAAGAGGACAACCCAAGGCUCAGCUAAGCUUUACGACAGUCUGUCAGAAGGAAUCUCUUUCGUUUAGUUUCAUCAUCAUGGGUUACUGUGUGUAACAAGGGGGGCGUAAUCCUAAUCAACGUUGGCGAAGCAUGUGCAAGCGCACUUGGGUGCAUCAUGCACGCACCUCCAAUCAUACCAAACCUUGUUUCUUUACGGAGGAUUGGAUCUGGAUUCAUAAACAUACGCUCCAGUACUUACCUGUCCUAGUACUUCCAUCAGUUAAUUAUUACUACACGCUUAAGCUCACCUGCGUGGAUCACACACGCUGGUAAGUAAAACUAUAUUAUAAUUCUUGUCUCAAAUUUGUUUAAAAAUGAAUGUAUCUAUUUUUAAAAAACGUAUAGAUACAUGUAAUAUUUCGACAAGAAUUAUGAAACGGAGAGAGUAGUUCUUUGCACGACGAAAAGUUCAAAACUUAAAACACGGCUAGUGCCGGGGAAUUCAGCAGAAGCUUACAUAUGUCCAACCGGUCGAUGUCUUGAUAUUUAAGAGUCAUUUUUGCUUGAUUAAACAACGCCAUCGCAGAAUGCGUCAAGUCUCUGAAGCACACAGCCUUGGAUGUAUUAGAGGACUUGAAUGCAGUGACAAGAACAAGUACUUUCAAUUAUUCUUCAGAGAAAGAAAAAGAGCGCCGUCAAUUAUUGGAGGAAAAUGAUGUUCACUGUUAGGCCUAACUCUCCCGAGUAAAAUGUUGUUCGUUGUAAGAUGCUAGGCCUGCAUUGUCCUUUUCAUCAUGUCAGGAUACCAUUGUCAUUACGAGAAUACAUAAGGCUGCAAUUAUAUCCGAACACUUUCCUACACGAUCUAGCUACCGACAUGGUUACUCGACAAUGUAAUAGAGGCAUACAAAUUCUGAAGUAAGUGCACGCACAGUGACGAGUGACGGUACCGACACGUACCAGAGCUUCAGCCUGGAUUCCGUCCGGCGUUCUGGGCGGAAAGCCCUGCACUUCGAUCGCAGAAAAGAAAAGGGAAAGCACCGAACUUUGACUCGUUCCUGGAAAUCGCACAAAAUAGCUUGCACCGUGUAUCCCUGGAUUUUCUCUUCAGCGGCAGGGUAUUAGCUAUUAAUAUUCCUUGGAUUAUCUCUUCAGCGGCAGAGUAUUAAUAUCCCUUGGAUUUUCGUUUUCUUUUCAUCAGCGGCGAAAUUGUCGUAAUCUUCGGCCGCUGCUGCCGCCGUCCGGCCGUCGGCAAUUUACAACUCAUUAGUAACUCCGUGCAGAGGAACAGAGAUCACUGCAUGGUGCACACCGUGUAUCAAAAUCGUGGGACAGAUUUAGGGCACCUCCAGCAGUGCCGAAGACGCUUGGCCGGCCGAUGCUUUUGUGGAAAGAGAUUUAAUACUCCCUUCGUUUCAUGAUUCUUGUCUCAAAUUUGCUCAAAAGGAAAAGAAACAGUCACUUGGGCGGGACGACAACCCCCGCGUCGCCCUCCUCUGGCGACACGGGGGAAACCCUAGCCACCGCUAGUUCUAGCCCCCCUCUCGCCCUUCUCCCCCGCAUCGCCGCCGUUGGAGGGGGUGCCGGCGAAGCCCAUGCACACCCAAGGAAGGUGGCGGCGGCGCGGGCUUCCCUCCCCUCGCGGCUCACCCUCUCGGUGGCGCGUGGUGGCGGUGGGGCUAGCGGGCGCGGCCUCCCUCUGGCGACGCGGGCUGCUCGGGCACGUCGCUUUUACGGCGACGCGGGCGGAUCAGGGGCGUGGCGACGGGAUCUGGGGCCCCUUGCCCAGAUCUAUGGGUGGUGGCCUGGGCGGCGGUGCGGCGCCUGUCUGGGGCGUGGCGACGGACGUGAGGCGUUGGCGGGUGGGGUCCUGCAGGGCGGCGCGGUGGCCAAGGUGGUGCUGGUUCUCCGGCGUUGCUUUCGUGCCUUCCCUGGUGGUCUGAGUGGUUCGGCUACAGCUGGUGCGGGCCGGAAUUGGGGUCGUCAACUAUGUGGAGUCUCGUCCCUUUGGUAGUGGACUGGCCGGCCCGGUCCCCUUGGCAGUUCCUAGUUGGAAUCGGAGUUCGUGGUCUGGGCCGGAAGAAAUCCUUGCGUGGCUGUUGCUGUGGCCGACGACGAUGACGUCUGCGGGCGUCGUGACCUUCAUGGAGGCGUCAUCGUGACUAAGUUCUAGGUCCAAACUAGUCAGGGCCGGUGGUGUGGUUUUUCUUUGCCACUAUUUGGCGUUGUUUGCCGUCUCGGCGUUGUACUAACCUUCUGGCCCUUCUUUUUUAAUCGAUGAUGUCUCCGCUGGGUUUGCAUUCUUGAAAGAAAUUUUUUUUGCCCAAAACUGAAUGUAUCUAUUCAUAAAAAUGUCUAGAUACCUGUAAUAUUUUAACAAGAAUUAUGAAACAGGGUAGUAUCAUAUAUGUUACGUCAGCCAUCAUCGGUGCAUGAGCAGUGUUCUCCACCGCAAUAGGCGAAUAUAUAUAGCCCAAAUCAAGUAGAGUACUAAUUCUUUGCGCAUGAACCACUCGGAGCAUCAGACUCCUGAUGAAGCGACGAUGCCUGCCCCGAGCUCGGAAAAGGUGUCCAUGCAGCUAGGAAAGCCAUGAAAAUUUCCCCUCGCGUCCACGUGAAGAGCCGCGCUAGAUUCUGAAUCUCUUCGGUUAAGAAUGUUUAUUUUUCGUGCUCUUGACUCCGUAAAAUCGAUCUUCCCUUUUAGGAUUCAGAAAGAAGCUGUUCUCGUUUCGAUUUCACUCAUCUUACGUCUCCCUUCUUUCACGAAGUUCCACAGGAAAAGGACGGUCUUACACACUAGCCGAUCAUUUCCCUUACAAAGCUCAUUAUAAAUUCGCUCCAUUAUUGUUGCAUCGGACGGAAGAAAGCCAAGUACCGCCGAUGUUGCGGUGGGGCGGGCCUGUCACGCGUGGCACCAGCACGCACGCGAGAGGCCUGGGACUGUGUCGUGUCGAGCUUAAUUAACGAGGCAUUUUCGGUCAAACGGUCGUCUCUGCUCAUGGCUCACAUGCCAGACGGAACCUACCCACGACCGCGACCCAACCAAGUUGACCCGUGUGGAAAACCCAAGUCCGCCACGGCCUUUUGUUCGGUGCAGUUUGGUGGGGUGCUACGAUCACAGCAGCGACUUUGCCCCGAUACGUGAGGAAGUGGGCAAGGUGUGUAGCAGAAGAAAAGAAAAAAAAAGGUUGGCGAUAGCACCGGGAUCAGUUGAUACGUGAGAAAGUGGCCAAGGUGUGUUGCUAGCAAAUAAUGAUCAUGUCUAAACUAUAGGAGAUGUGUGUGUGUGUGUGUGUGUGGGUGUGUGCCCCCGAUGCAGACGUUUCGUUGUGGAUGGACUGGGCACCUUCUUCUUCCAGCUUAGUUAAGCAGUUAAGCUAGUCUUGAUUACAUAUAUUCUCGUUGUGGCUAGCUAGGGAGGGGGCGCUUUAGUCCCUGUACCCACAAUCCAUUAUCCAUCGGCCGUGCGCCGGCUGCAUCUGCAAUUUGCAACCACUGCAACCGACGUGAUCGAGAUCAUUCCAUUCCAUGUACUUACUGCGAGUACACUAGCUAGUUAGGCUUCGGUCCGGAUAGCGCUGUCUGUCUGUGCUCACGGUGCUAUGACGUCAAACACGAAGAAGUAUGACAACGAUGGAUGGCCGGCAGAACGGGCCGAUAAACUAGGUUGCAUCAAAGCCGUGUCGGCACAACGCUCACGCGAUCCGCGGCUGCCGAAACGGCCCAGCAAGGGGAAAUAACUGGAGAGGUAGCGGUGUGCUGAACAACAUGGUAGGUGUCCUUACGCACGACACAGUGUAACUCUUUUUUAAAGUAGAUGACAACACGAGAAUUGCUGUAUUCAUUUAGUGGCAGAAAAACAGGCGAAGUAAAGGAUUUGACGAAAAGCCAAAAGUUAGUAGAGCUCGAGCGUUGCUCGCAAAAAAGAACAGGCAAAGCAGGAUGUUCAAUUCCACGGUGGGUCCUCGCAGCUGCCAGUGUGCUAUGUAAGUUUUGUUUUUUAGGGGAAGUGUGCCAUGUAAGUUUUUUUUUUGUGAACGUGUGCUAUGUAAGUGGGCCGAUGGCCCGUUGCAGUAACAUACUACUUCGUGAAAGCUAGGCCUUUUAUUUAGAUCUCGAGCCCAUUCCCGUUGCAGAUUUUGUUGCAGCCUUGCGGAUGAUCACAUCACUCAGGAACUAAUCACGUGCGAUGCCGAGACCACGUGGAAUGCAAUAAAAAAAUGCGCGAUGCCGAGCAGCGCAGAACGAGGCACCUCCCGAGGGGGCGAGCCGACGAGGAAGAAUGUGGCGGCGUGCGCACCCUGGUGGCAGAUUGGCAGGCCCGUCCACGUGACACGUUAACUGAUUUCACAUACGCUAAGGCCAUCUUCAACAAGUACCAGCCAGUAAUGGUACUAAUUUUUUUUUCUCCAUUUUCAAUGUGUUUUUUUUUUAUGGAUUCACAUGUCAUCUUUUUUGCUGUCUUGGUAUCCGUGUAAUACCUGUUACUUCUUCAAGUAAUCAUUAUUCCUCUCUCCUUCACAUUGGCCACUGAUUUAUUGGUACUCGCGUAAUGCCUCUUGUUGCGAAAAUUCGAUUCAGUGCCCCCGAGCGCUCUCGAGAGAGCGCUGCAUCUUGUCCGCACCAUUUGCUUUAAGAUGGUCCUAGAUGUUCUCCCUUAUCGGUCCUUCUGUGCCAACUGCUCCUCCCCUUAUGGACCAAGCUCGCGGCCUGGUCCAAGAAGUUUACCAGCAGGCCCAUCCUCCCUAGCUUCGUCCAAGAUUUCCGGGACCGCAAAUUUGGGCCUGCAUGACCGAUUUCACCUGGACCAACUUUCUAAAAUCAUCAUUUUUUUGGGCCCCUGAUCGUGCUGGACCUGUUCCGUGCCCAUUUGUGAAGGAGCUGGACCUUUUUUGCGGCGCCCAAUGUGAAGGCGCUGAAAUGAAAUAAUCCCGAUGGGCCAAAAAUAAAUCAAGUUGGACCGCCAAUUUAUGGUCCAACACUAGGUAAAUAUGUUUGGCUCCAGGUGGACCUUAAAAGUGGUACAUUACACAACCAAGGACAUAGAAGGAUAUUAGAAGUUUUACAUCACACAACCAAAAAAAAAAUUACAUUUUACAUGACCUGGGAUGCAUUAUACACUGUUUUUUCCAAAUAUAUCAUAUGAUCAUUUCACUUGUUUUUUAUUGGUCGCAAAAGAUGGGCCGAAGUCGCCCCUCGAGCCGGAUAGCUUCCCUGGCCAUCCCAAAACCAAGCUGAGCUGGACCGCCACACCGAUAUUUGUACCGGCGCAGAUCGUCGAACAUUCUACCUGGAACUUUCCUUGCGGUACAGUUCAAAUUUGUGUCCAUCCGCCACAUGUUCCUUUUUAAUCGUCGCAGCACAUGGACCAUGACAAAGAGUUGAAGCAGCUACCAUUAACUCGCAUUAAGAUAAAAAGAACCAAUUGGGGGGAACUCAUUUUAUGGCAGCGUCCCCAGCUGUAGUUCCACCCCGCAUUCAUCCCACUAAUGAACAAUCCCCAUGCGCAUAGACAACCCUGUCCGCGGAGUAGCAUGCACCGGCAUGACUUUGUCCUACAUCAAAUAACCCUAACUAAUGCCUUGUACUUAUCACCAUGCCCAAUUAAAGGCCGAAGCACAGAAGCUGUGACCUGGUUUAUUUCCACCAUACGCGCACUUCAAUUAAUACUUGCAUGCCGUGCAUUUGAGUACCCGGCAGAUCAGUACUAUUGAUUCCAUCACUCCAAGCUUUCACUCCCUCUCGAACGGACGUGUAUAGGCGCUGUUCGCCGUGUCCUCACAAGCUAUGUAAAUAACCGACCGGUGCUGCCCUGAACAUUGAAUCGCCAUGCCUAUUUUGAAUUGCCCGCUUCAGUGAAGUUGGCCCAUAUACCUUGUCACGCCUUUUUGCACGAUCUCAUAUGAAACCCCCCCAAGGGACAAGUCCACCACGCCUUUAUACAGUUCCGACGUGACUACUUCGAGACCAGCCUCUAAUCCGUCCUGCAACCUUCCCAUCCCAGGCACCCCCAUCGAUCCUGGCACCCACUUAAUACGCAGCCCUUAACUACGUGACCCAACCGAAUCCAUCUGAGGGGGCCGCCUGGAUCACCGACUGCAUGUACAGUACCGACUUGACUACUUCAAGCCCCAUCGUUUGGGUCCACUUUAGAGUUUGGGUGGAGAACUAGAACGGCACGCAGGAUGACAACCGGAGUGCACGUCGCCGAGAUUUUAUUUCUUUCUUGGUCUUGUAUGUUACAUACAACAAAUAUUCUAGCGGUCCCGCCAUCAUUCGGACCGGGGUGAUAUGCAAAUGCAGCAGUUCCAUAUUUGCACUACUCAACGGGGGAAACGAAAUGUAAUGGAAUGCCUCAGAUAGUGGGAGCAGCAUUAAAGAAGUUCUGCAGCCGUCGUAGUUCUUGAUCAGGAAGGUCAUGCACAGUGCCGACUGCUCCCUAUAGUAGUUCAAAGACACAAAUCAAUGGUGUGUUUCAAGGUUAACUUUCCGAAAAAUUUCAUGUCAUAAGUAAUCCAAGAACACUUACCUUGAAAACAUGUCAGUCAUCAACAGGGGAAAACGUACUUGCCAAUCCGUCGUGUCACAUGACCAGUUCUCGAACAGCCUUGACACGCAACGGAAAAGGGCAUUCAGCAACACGUCGGUCACGUGGUCGUGCAACUUCACCCGGUCGUUCUCAAAUCCACGAGGUCCCGCCAUAGGAUCAAUCACGUGAAUCCUUUUCAAUUUCAUGUCGAGGAAGUACGGACACCAUCCCUCCUCCAACUGAGCGGGUAUAGAGAACUGAGUAGGCAAACGAGCAGAGAAUACAAAAUUAUAGAUUCCACGGGGUCUGGUUCGGUUCUAUAUCUUGUAGUUUGUUGGGUGAUCUUUAAUUUACCAUGCGGCACGACAUGAUGUUGAAACUCCCGACAUCAGAUAUGAACUGGCUGGUCGUAGACCUCAAGGACGCGGGAUCACCUCCCAUGAGGGCGCACAGCUGUUGCAUCGAAUGAAACACAUGUAGUUACUAACUGACGGGGCUCAAAAUCAAAGUCGUUUGCAAAUGCAUUGGCAAGACAACGACUUACCGAGAAGUCAGGAUCGACGAACUUCCUCCAACGCAUUCCAUUCGAUUCCUUGCUACAGAAGGAGUCGAUUUGAUCCAUGCGUCGGAUCAGGAGCGUGCUCAUCUCGUGGCAAACAUUCCGCCCGAAUACUAGCUGCUGCUUCAGAAAUAAACCGUCCAGCUUUAGGAGUCGGGGGCAUGGGUGCAUGAACCAAUUCCUGCGGUAAAAGUUUUCAAAUUAAGUACAUACACAGCGUCCAACGAAAUACGUGAAAGCAGGUCUCACCGAGCAAGCGUCGUAGAAGCUGCACUCCCCAUCCAGUGGUCUAUGGCCAUGGUUGCAACCGCCGAUGGCGGUGAUGGGAACGAACCAACGGCCCAAGGCUCCCUGGCGAAACGGACAGGAUGGAGGACUCGCCUCACAUUCGUAUUCAAAUCUCCCGUUUCACCAAAAAGGACGUCACCUCUGGUGUCCCCCCCGUCCAUGGCUGCCAUCAUUAGGACAGACUAGACGUCGUCCGAGAAACCGAUUAAUCGGUCAAUAGCACCCGGGCGGUCCAGCUUGUCUGUGGUAGGUGUGAUGCACUGAUCCAAUACCACUUCAACCGUGCGAGUACCUGCAGAGCCGCCCAAACCCACCGAUUGCGGUUGCUGUUUUGCACGCCGGAUCUCCACCCCUGCAGGAACAUAAUUAUGUUGCGGUUUCAGAAAUUUCAAUCACCACAACGUACCACCCCUAUAUGUUUUUAGCAUCAACAGAAUUGACGAUCCAAUGUACAAAAUGCUAACCUCGAGACAACGAUCUCGCCGACCUGUUGUCCUUAACGUCGGCGCUGUCCGGCCAUAGACACUUGCGCGUGUAUGGGCUGUGGCCCGUGGAAGACUCUGUGUAAAAAUUGACAAUGUUCACACGUCAGCACAGUUCGGUAUUGCCGUCAUAACCCAUACGCGGGAGAAAUCUCAACACAGCUAACGCCAACCGUCGUCGUCCCCAUCUGCAGAGCUUGUCCUGAAGCCGCAUUUGGUCACUGACGGCGUUACGAAAGAGCUUGCUCCUCCUAAUUCCAGCAUGUCAAACAGUAUAUUAGCCAGCACAUUAAAUUAGCUAAUUGAAAUAAUCGAACAGUAUAUUAGCCAGCAUGUCGUCUUUGCCAUGCACAGCCAGAGGGGCACGCAAAAGCAACUGUGCUUUCGCUAGUUUGUCAGCAAAGGAAAACAUCUCCUUCUGGCAUUUGUUCCUGAAGUCGUUUGCAAAUGACAACAACCUACCGUUAUGUUCCUUCAAUAUCACCGGAAUGCUCGAGCCUGCCUGUCAAACCAAAAGUCAACGUUCAAUUAUAUUCAUUUCCGAUAGAGAAAAUAACAAUCCUCCAAAUUGACCCACUCUAGAUGAUCCUGCACUAGCAGAACCUUCUCAUACAAUUUGCUGGUUUCUGGUAAAUUUGUUAACUGGAGACAAACAGGUUUACCAACUAACCAGCUCUGGAUAGGCAGUGCGGAGAUGACGUGCGAAAUCACUAGCGCUGGAUCCAUCAAAUAAUGAUUUGGCAGAUAUAUUGCUGAUAGCCGGCUUCCUUAGUAUCACUCUCCUAGCCGAUUCCUCCAUAGGAUCAAUUGGCCUCGACGCCACAGCCGCAUCUGCCGUUACGUUCUCCACCAACGACUUCAACACAUCGGGUGGAAGUACACGGCUUCCCCCUUGCAGGUCGCUGGCGUCCGUCAUCUUCCGGAUUGUAUCGCAGUAUUGGCCCAGCCUGGGUGUGGCAUCGAGGUUCCCGGUGUCGUACCAGUGGCCCACGGGGUUCCACUGAUAGGGACGCAUGGGUCGCCAGUGACAAAGCCUCGCCAGGUUGACCUUCCGGAAACGAUAGGCCCAAGAAGCCUGCCUCAAGGAGACGUUCUUUGGUGGAAGCAAAGCCAAAUGCCGAAAUAGAAGAAACGCCCGGGAACCCUGGUUCCGGAAAGCGGAAGAAACACCUCCCCAGCAACUGGCCGGGUGCGCUAGCCGGGAAGGGGCACCCCAGGAACCCGCGCUCGGGCAUGCAGGCGGGGCUCGCAGAACAGUGAAGACAGGACGAGACAGCGGACACAGUGCAUUUAAUGCACCGACAAGAGUCACAUCGGCAGGGCUAGUCUUGUUCAGCAAGGUUAGCGCGUCUACCUUACAAAUCAUCUUUUCACCGUGUACAAUGCACCGGGCGCUGCAUGGCGCCCAACGUGGAUCAGCGGCAGUGUAAUUCUUGUGGCGGUGACACACGUCUAGGCACGCUGCAUGGAUCGGCACCUGUGGUAUCCCCUUGUCUAUAAAAGGAGGACCAAUGCCAUCGGUCAAAGGGUUUCGAUCAGUUAUGUUCUAGCUCUAGUUAGAGUGAUAGCCAAGUAGCUCCCCGGGAACCUCCGGGGCUCCCUGUAACCACACACAUAAUCUUGAAUACAAUUCAAAACAGGACGUAGGGUGUUACACCUCCGGGUGGCCCGAACCUGGGUAAAUUCACGUGUCGACACUUCGUGUCUCUCGUCACGCCGGCAAUCGCCUCGCCCUCCACCGAACCAAAAAGGUGGUGCUCGGCAUCCCCGAUGCCGGAGACCCGUGCUCCGACAUCUGGGAAGGCAUCCUAGUUGAAGGUUGUCCAAGUAGAAUAUCCGAGAAAGAAACAAAACGGUCAAUCACAUUGCCCCUGUUGUUUCCAAAUGAUACAAGACGACAAAACAAACACAGAUUUACCUGCAAGAAAAGGUGGCAUCCAUUCAGAGUAAGCGUCGAGUAGCCGUUAGAGGCGUCGGAUUUGAGCUUCCUACAGCCCUGUGUUACGUGCUUCAACACAUAUCCGGACCAAUUGAAUUUCGAUAUCAUAGCUGGUUCAUUCACCGCGUACAAGAAAUCCAGGGUUACGUAAUCGAACUUCGAUGAGGGAGCCAGCAGAUGGCCGACCGCGUAAAUCAAGAACGCAAUCUUGAAGCAAUCUCUGUCCGAGCUUGGUGAAUCCUCGUCUAGCGGCCUCAAUAGGAAAAUCUCAGCCGCUUUUAGGCUGUGCGCGCCUUUCUCUCCGACCCCACGGGCAAAAUCGCUGUAUGCCACAAAAGCCGGCGAUGGGGUCGGUGGCCUCAAGAGUUACCGCCUCUCCCGACGAAGGCAGUGCCAGGACUGCGGCAACUGAUUCGGAGGUCAAAUCGAGCCUUCUGUCAGCACCAGCGUCCAGUUUCAUGUUAUCAGCGCAAACCCUAGUCAUAAGCCAUGCGCUAAACCUGCGAUUAAUUUUAGGGAGCAUCUGCGCGUGGUUCAACCCUGCAAAACCAAUCUCUUCUGCUAGAGUUUGCUUCAACGCGUCAAACUGACAGACGACUGCGCAAACUUUCUGUGCCGACAGGUGGGAAGUAAGGGUGCAUGAUGAAUGCCCGUAACCUUGCAAGGAAGCCACGUUGGCUGAGGAUGCAUUCUCCUCCGGGGCUCCCGGGUUCUGGCUCUCAUGCGACGUGGUAAUAUGGACAUCGUCCAUACUAAAUCCGCGCCGUAAGCACGUAUGCCAGUCCUGACAGUUUGGAUGGGCGAGCAAAUAAUCAGUUCAAAACGUACAGCCCGGCCCAUGUAAAAUAAAAACCUAAGAUGUAGUCAACUUUCGAAUGUCAUUCAUCACUUACGAAGUUAAGCUUCUCCAAAAAACAUCCACCAACAGGCAAAUAAUGAUUACAGACCAAAAAUGAGCAUAGAGUCAGCGUCCUAUAACUCCCGACCACCCCAAACCCCCCAUAAAAUCCUAACCUCGAGCAUAUACUGUUCGGGGGAUGUGAUCUCCCUGAUAAACCAAAGCUAGGAAAACGUACCUGGAGGAUAGAUUUUGCUCCAGUCCGUGCUAGAUCCGGAAGACCUUCCCUUCCAACUACAAGUUACCAAAUAUUGCGUUCCUCAAGGGGGGUGGGUGUGUUGGGGGUGGUGGCGGCAGUUUGGGUGGUGGGUGACAAUGGUGACCGGGUGCACUCAACGGAUAUCGGACUACUAGAACUACCGCCUCUGCCCCUGGAUCCGAGGGACAACCCCCGCAGGCUGCCCCCGCAAGCGGCUAGUGCAGCAUCCCGUGUACUUCGUUAGCACGGUGCUGCGUGAUGCUCGGGUACGGUACCCGCAGGUCCAGAAGCUUCUGCUUGGGAUCCUGCUCGCUUCAAAGAAGCUGCGCCAUUACUUUCAGGCGCACAGCAUCACGGUGGUGUCGGAGUUCUGUCUGGAGAGGGUCCUCACUAACCGUGAAGCCACCGGAAGGGUGGACGAGUGGAGGAUGGAGCUAGCGGAGUUCGGGCCGCGUUUCGCAAACACCAAGAGCACCGCUCUCGCUGAUUUCGUCACGGAGUGGACAUCGACAGGCAUAGAAGAAGAAGAGCCGGAAGGGAGCCUUCCCGGCAGAUUGGACGAGGGUAUUGGGUCAUGUACUUCGACGACGCCUUCUGCUUGCAGGGCGCCGGUGCCGGAGUGGUGAUCGAGUCGCCCACCGGGGACUGGCUGAAGUUCAUGAUACAACUCAACUUCGCGAACUCCACCAACAUCACAACAGAGUACGAGGGACUACUUUCCGGGCUACACGCGGCGACUGCCCUCGACAUCAAGCGCUUGGUUGUUCACGGGGACUCCCAGCUCGUGAUCAAUCAGGUAAAUAAGGACUACGACUGCCCCCAGAUGGCAGCGUGCGUGGAGGAAGUGCGAAAAUUGGAGUCCAAGUUCAAAAGACUUCGGUUUGAGCACGUGAAGUGCAAGGACAACUUUAUUGCAGAUGAACUGUCCAAGUGGGCAGCGGAAUGCAACAAGGUGUCUCCUGGGGUGUUCGUGCAGAGGCAGUUGAAGCCCUCUGUUGACCCCAAGACAGUUGCCGGGGAAGCCCCUCCGGCAACUCAAGGUGGCCCUGCAGCUACAGGGGACUAUGCCGCCAAGUUGGUGGCAUAUACUAGCCGGGAGCCAUCACCCUGGGGGACGGAUAUUAUUCGUUACCUCAGGGAUGGGACCCUCCCGGAGGAAGACAUUACCGCGGAGCGAGUAGCCCGGCAAGCCAAGAUGUACGCCUUGAUGGACGGAGAACUCUACCGGAGGCGUCCUAAUGGAGUCAUGCUCCUCUGCGUGCCCCAGGAGGAAGGGCGCACGUUGCUGGAGGAUAUACAUUGAGGCACAUGCUCGCACCAUGUGGCCUCCAGGGCACUAGCUGGGAAAGCAUUCCGGCACGGCUUCUACUGGCCGACAGCACUAGCCGAUGCCGACCAAUUAGUCAAGACCUGUGAAGCGUGACAGUUUCACGCCAAACAACCAUGCAACCAACCAGCGCAAGCGCUGCAAGUCAUUCCCUCCUCGUGGCCGUUCGCGGUCUGGGGGCUGGACAUCGUCGGCAAGUUGCCGAGAGCAGUUGGCGGCUACGAGUACCUGCUUGUGGUCAUCGACAAGUUCUGGAAGUGGAUCGAGGUGGAGCCUGUCCGAGCCAUCACGGCACAGGCGGCCAUCAAGUUUUUCAAGGGCAUUGUGUGCCGGUUUGGUGUGCCUAACGGCAUCAUCACCGACAACGGCACGCAAUUCACUAGUGCGGCGUUCCAAGCUUACUGCGAGGACAUGUGCACUAAGAUUCACUUUGCCUCUGUUGCUCAUCUAGGAGCAAUGGGCAAGUUGAGCGAGCCAACGCAGAAGUGCUGCGGGGGCUCAAGACAAGAACCUUUGACAAGCUCAAAGGCCACGGGAAACACUGGGUUGAAGAACUCCAGCCCGUGCUGUGGUCGCUGUGGACCACACCAAGUCGGGCGACAGGUCAAACUCCGUUUGCCCUCGUCUACGGGUAGAAGUUGUGCUGCCCCUCGAGCUCAAGUAUGGGUCACCUCGGAUACGUGCGUACGGCGACAAGAGCCAACACACGCAGAGGAUUGAUGACCUUACCUUCAUCGAGGAGAUUCGAUGCCGGGCUGCUGUGCGAGCUGCAGGCUACCAGCAGGGACUUCGUCGUUAUCACGAUAGGAGAGUCCGUCCCCGGGGGUUCGAGGUUGCAUACCUCGUCCUGUGCCAGAUACAAGGAACGAAGGCCGGGAACAAGUUGACUCCAAUCUGGAAAGACCCUUUCCGGAUAGUGCAGGUGACCAGACCGGGGGCUGUCCGGCUGGAAACCGAAGAACGCUUGCCUGUGCCCAAUAGUUGGAACAUUGAGCACCUGCGCAAGUUCUACCCGUGAAACGGUGGCCAUACCCACGGGUGAAGCUGCCGCAACGUGCCUCUUUAAGCUAGUGUAGCCGGGUAAGGGCCGAUUGUAAUCUGCCAGCACAAAGUGAAUAAAGAUAAGUGUUGUUUCAAUGAAUAUUGUGCUUUGAUAUUUAAUAAGUGCUUCUGUCUCCUGCUUUAGGUGCACAGAAUUGUCUCUUCAUCCUUGGCUGUGAGCAGGGGGGCUGCCGGAACCCCGAAAACCAAGCUCGUCGCCGGGACAUCCCGGAACGAGGCCUAACAGUUGCCGGACCCGUCCACAACGUGCUACGUGCCAGCGAGGCACCAUGGGAAUAGAAAGAUGCUCACACCCAAGCCUGAGGUCGACUCUUCUGUGCGCGGGGGCUGGGAGGCAGGAGGUUUUCUAGUUUGGACUAUUUUUCGUGCAUUUCGAAAUUUUGCUAUGCACCUUGGGCACUAUAGAAAUCUGACAUGUAGGGUAAAGAUGAGGCGAAGGCACACUGUGACGCUCGUGGGGUGGUCACGGGUGUCGUCAUCUUGCGAGUAAGUUGUACAUAUAUGGCAAUUACUUCAAGGCUUGAUACAGAAACUGAGACAGGGCCAGUGCCUCCACGCGGCGACUGGUAGUUCCGGGCGUGUGGAGGCAAGAGCAGCGCUUUUGCUAUUUAAAGAGACCGGGGCAAGUGCAGCACCAGCAACGGCCAAGAAGGCAAGAGAUGUCGCAGAGAGGCGAUGGUGGUGCAUCCCUCUGCGCUUGUCGCUGAGGGUGUUCCCACCGUCACGGCCCUACCACAUCUCUUACGAAACGACAUCAUAAAUGACGAUGAGACAAGCGAGAGGCGUCGUAAAGACGCGGUGGUGGUGCAUGCUGUUAGGUUCGUUGCAUAGGAAACAAAAAUUUUCCUACGAGAAGUGCGGAAGAAAACCCAAGAAUAUAUAUACUAAAUGUAUGUAACGAGAGGGAUCAUGAACACCAUACCCUCGUAGACCGCUAAGCGUUACGAUCACGAGAUCGUUGUUGGUGUAGUGGAACUUUCAAUGAGAUCAAUCUCAAUGCCGAACGGACAGCACCUCCUUGGUAUCCACACGUUCAGCUUCACGUUGUCUCCUCCUUCCUCGAUCCAGCAAGCGAGAGGGAGAGGUAGACGAGAUCCCGGCAGCACGACGGCGUGGUGACUAUGGUGAAUAUUCUCACGAGCAGGGCUACGCCGUGCGCGUGAGAAGAGGAGGAGAGGAGGGCUCAGGGGAGAGAGAUCCAACUGAAAGCUUGGGGGGUCUCUCUCCCUUGCCCCCCCUUCUAUUUAUAUAGGGGUAGAGGAGGCGUGGCCGGCCAGGACUAUCCCGUGACCAGGACUCUCCGGCGGCCAGGACUCUCCUCCUGGCCGCAUGGGCCCUGUGGGCUAGCCCCUCGGCCCAUUAAGGCCAGGGUGCUCCCUCACAGGCCCAUUUAACCCAGGGAUAGGUGGGCCUCAAGGUGGAACCCUCCGGAUCCCUCCGGAACCUUCUAGAAGCUUUCCGGUCAAAACCGGGAAAUAUUCCAAACUUUCCAGAACCCUGAAAACAACUUUCCAUAUAUAAAUCUUUAUCUCCGGAACAUUCCGGAGCUCCUCGUUGCGUCUAGGAUCCCAUCCAAGACUCCGAAUCAUAAUUCGAUAUCAUCAUCAUUUAUCUCAUCUAACCCAAGCAACAUGAAACGUUAAGUGUGUGACCCUAUGGGUUCAAGAACAUGUGGACAUGAUCAAAUAUCAAUAACCAAUAGCGGGACCUGGAUGUCCAUAAUAGUUCCCACAUAUUCCACGAAGAUCUCAUCGGUUGAACCACUAUGUCGAGGAUUCAAUUAAUCCAGUAUCCAAUUCUCUUUGUCUCGCGAUAUAUUACUUGCCCGAGAUUUGAUCGUCGGUAUCGCCAUACCUAGUUUAAUCUCGUUACCGGCAAGUUCUCUUUACUCGUUCCGUAAUAUAAUACCCCCGCAACUAAACACAUUAGUCGCAUGCUUGCAAGCUCAUUAGGAUGUUAUAUUACCGAGAGGGCCCAGAGAUAUCUCUCCGUCACAAGGAGUGACAAAUCCCAGUCUUGAUCCAUACAACCCAACAAGCACCUUCUGGGAUACCUGAAAAACACCUUUAUGAUCACCCAGUUACGAGAUGACGGUCGAUGCCCACAAAGUAUUCUUCCGGUACUAGGGAGUGGCAUGAUCUCAUGGUCUAAAGAAAUAAUACUUGACAUAAUAAAACAUAAGCAACUUAAACUUAAGUGACACGAUCAAAAGCUAUGUUUAGGUUUGGGUCUGUCCAUCACAUCAUUCUCCUAAUGAUAUGAUCUCGUUAUUAAAUGACAACACAUGUCUAUGGUUAGGAAACCUUAACCAUCUUUAAUCAACGAGCUAAUCUAGUAGAGGCGUAUUAGGGACACGGUAUUUGUUUAUUUAUCCACACAUGUAUUUGAGUUUCCAAUCAAUACAAUUAUAGCAUGGGCAAUAAACAUUUAUCAAGAACAAUGAAAUAUGAUAAUAACAAAUUUAUUAUUGCCUCUAGGGCAUAUUUCCAACAGUCUCCGCGGCUCCGAGGGUGCUGCUGGAGGGUGCACUGCCACCGCGUCCUUGCCACGGCUCUCAACAAGGUGCAACAAGUCCAAAAAGAACGGAAAGCUAAGUAUCUCAUUUUGGGUCCUUGGUUUUUCCCUUUAGUAACACUGGUUUGCUAGGGUAAGCUCGGUCCCUGUGUUGCCAGAGCGUAGGAAGGACGCUUGCGGGGUGAGGACGCCCCCCACACGUGGCUCGCGGGUCCGUCCCAAAGGUGUGCGCGCUGGGGUAGUUAACCCGCGGGCAGAGUGACAAGACACUGCUGUUUGGUCCUAGGUCGACACCGCAUGUCCGUCCCGGGUCCCUAGUCUGGCCAAGCACGUGGUUGGCAAGUCCCCAGGUACGCAAAGCUAAAACACGAGAAGGACAGAGCCCCUCCCCAGCAAGCUAGUCUUAGGCAAAGAAGCAAGUUAAAGUAGCAUUGGAUAUAUAUUGCAGCUUGAGCAAAACGAGUUAACAAGUAACAUUGGUGAUGAUAAGGGAAUGCUAACAUAAAAAGUUCUAAGGCGCCAUGCGCCACUUGCAGGAAAACAAAAAAGAGAGGAAACUAUGCGGGGGGUGCUCCCGGGGUGGCUGCGUCGGUGCCAGGUGCAUCCUUGGCAUCGGGGGCUUCCCCGGCAACCUCCUCAGCAGCGGCUUCGUCUUCGUCGACUUUGCCCUGCAUCCGCGCCACCAUCUCGUCCACGAUGCCCUGCACCGCUUCCUGGUGGGUCUUGGCUUCUUCUUCGUCCGACCAGGCGUCGAAGACCGACUGGAACGGAAAGUCGGGAUGGGUGGAGUGGACCCGGGUGGGAAUUUGCCUGGCGACCUGCUUGGCCGCAAGGCCGACUUGCCGGUCCCAGAAGGCCGUCACACAGCUCUGCAGGCCGCUCAGCCGGCCGACGAAGUCUGCGAAGAAUGAAGUGAAGCUCCCCAUGUCUGCCCCAUCGAAGGAAGCCACAGGGAUGUCAAACCCCUAUAGUGCCUCCAUCGCCGAGUCAGCCAACUUCUUCAGCCUGGCCACCUCCCCUGCCCUGCGGGCCCGCAGCUCGGUGCACGCACCACGAGCCUCCUGGGCCUGCAGCUUGUGCUCGCGGCACUUGGACUUCAGCCUGCCGAUCUCGGACGCUUCUUGGUGUUGUCGUCGUCGACUUGCCGAAGUUCCUGCCGCACCAUGUCGAGCUCGCCCUGAAGGGACGGGCUGGCAUAUUGGGUGGCCUUGAGCUGCCCCGCAAGCUCACGCUCCCGGGAGCGAGCCUGGUCCUGCAGCUCCUUCUCUCGGCGCGCUGAGGCUUCGGCUGCCGUUGCAGCCGCCGUCUCUAGCUCUCCGAUCUCACGGCGGAGACGAUGGAUCUCCAGGGAGUAGCCAGACAGCAAGUCCGUCUUCUCCUGGAGACGCCCCUGAAACGCGUCCAGAGCCGCCUGGUGCUCUUCCUCGCUCUUGGCGUGAGCAGCUUUCACCAGUUCGAGCUCCCACUGGUGCUUUUGCUGGAGAUCCCACAGCUACUGGAGGACUUCCGCCUCCGGCACCCCUUGCACAGCAGGCGUCGCCCCGACUUGCCGUGCCUGCUGGAGCUCCUCCCGGAGCAGUUGCAGCUCGGUACGCUGCUCCUCCGCUUCCCGUCGUGCCGCGCCCAGCUCCGCCACUACGCGGGCGUGGUGCUGCUGCGCGUCGUUGAAGAAAUCGACGAACAUCCACUGUUGCUGCUGGAUGUUGUCGAUCACUUGGUGUCCCUGAUGGAACACGCUGGGGUCGAAGGUGAUCCGACCCCAAGUCUGCCCGGCGAGCUCCCCUGCUCCCGGGCUGAAGGUGGCCCCGCCGGGAUCGUCUGAGAUCCCGAGGGCGCGUCAGGAUUUGGCGACGCGCCCCCGGCUUGACCAAGCCCUGCUGCUCCUUGCCCGUCCGAAUGGGCGGGCUGGGGGCUCGGGGGCUUCUCCAAAGAGCUACUGCCUGUCCCGGCUGGCGGAGGCUGCUCUGUGUCACCUGCCUCAGAUGGCGCCCCCUGCGUGGCAUCACCUCUGUAGGCGUGGAAGCAACCGGAACCGCUCCGGCAACUGCACGAGGAGCACCUGCGUCAAGCAUGGGAAAUGGCGUGAAUAGAUAGAAGAAACACUGGAACUCGCACGAACUUGCCGCCGGGCCGGUGCCUUGCGAGUUCGAAUUGGGGACCCUUGGGUCCCCAGCGGCCGUUGCCACCAUCACAACCGCUGCGUCAGCGGCAUUUUGGUCGCCGCCACCCGAUGCCGGGCGAGGCUUCUUGGUUGGGGCUGCCGGCGACGAACUGGAAAACGCAAAAGUAGAUUAUUCAGGCACAAAAUAAUUUCGUGAAAUCAAAGGUGUUCUGGAUAAACAUUGGACUUACCCCGCCGGUUUGAGCUUGAGCACCUUGUCCGCCAGGAUGUUCCUCGCCGGAGGGCCGCUUCGUGCGAGGGGAGCUGUCGGAGUCGCCGGGGUGGUCGGGGCGGCUGCUGCAGCCGCGUCGCUGCCGCCGGAGGCCCCAGCCCCCGCGUCACCAUGAGGCUCCUGAGGCUGCGGGCUGGCCUCCUGCCUGCUCGCCUGCUCCGCCGCGGACCGCCUCACCAGGGGGAUGUCGUUUUCCUCGUCGUCCUCCUCCGGCGCGACCCCACCUGCUGCCGGGGGAGCGUCGUCGUCGCUGAGGUCUCCUCCAACGCCCAGCGAGGAGUCGUCGGAGUCCGAGCCCUCAGCCCUGGCGGAGGCCUGGCCUUGGCCCCCUUCCCCGAGUCGGCAGCUGGUAAGGUUCGUCCUCGCCGGUGAUGCCCUUCACCCAAAACUGCACCUCCCCCGGGAGGAGGUCCGUGCGCUGCAGCCGGGUCCGGUCGCCGGCCCCGGUGUACAUCCACGCCGGAUGUGAGCGCCGCUGUAGGGGAGCCACGCGCCUCCCGAUGAAGUGGUCCGUGAGCCCAGCCUCACGGAGCGCCUUGUUCUUCACACAGAUUGGGGCCAGCUCCUCGUCCUUCUGGUCGCGGAGCGUCCAGUCGUCAGAGCCCUUCAGAGGCCCGAGGGGGUUGCUCGUGGAACUCCCGGAGCUCGUCCGUGCGCACCCAGCACCAGUCGCGGCGCCACUCGUGCUUGAUCUUCUUCUUCCCCAGCUCGAUGAAUUCCGACUUGAUCCUGUCGCGGAAUCAGAACACUACUCCCGAGGACAGGGAGCCUUCUUCUCCACCCUCAGGUAGUAGUAGUGGCGGAAUAGCGCCACCGACGGCAUCACCCCCACGAACGCUUCACAGAGGUGUUGGAAAACAGCCAAUGUGAAGAACGACGUGGGGUGAAGCUGCGAGAUGAUGAGCCCGUAGGUCUCCAUGAUGGCUGAAAGGAAAUAGGAGUGUGGCGGCACGAACCCGGCAAGGAUGAACCUCCCAAAGAUCCGGAAGUAGUGCUCGUCGCGCUCCGCACCGACGGGGAGGACCCACGUCGGCCCGUGCUCAUUGUGCUUGGUGGCGCCAAGACCAGCUUGUCGACUCCCUCGCCGUUGUACCCGGGGGAGAAGAAAGCGAACUUAGCCCGCAUUUCCUCAUCCUUCCGAGCUCGGUCCGACAGCUCCUUGCCGGCCUUUUCGCGCUUUUCCCCUUUGCUGGUGCUCCCCUUGGGACGGUUCUGGCCCUUGGAAGACAUCAGCACAGGUGGAGAGGUGAUUUGGUUGGAGUUGGGGCGCGGGGAGCUUGGGAGGAGGCAAUGGCAGGAGCGAGAGACAGUGGGGAGUGCCCGCCGCCGGCCUUGGGUAUUUAUCGGGGCUGGCGGACUGCAACGGACACCCCCACGAUUGGCAAUAAAGAGCCCUAAAGAAUCGGAGAUUAAGAGGGGGGUGCGCGACGUGGCCUUAAUUCUCUGGUGAUUAAGGGGAGUAAGGCACGGAAUCGUGCGCCCGACCGUUCCGCUCGGAGGAGUAGAGCAGUAAAUGCGGCCCACAAGGCCGGGUGCCAGGGAGACUCCCCUUGGGACCCACGCGUCGGAUAGGGCGUAGCCCGGCAAUCGACCGAGGAUAGCAUUUGCUGGGAGCUUCAGGGCUGCCAGCCCAUGCCCGGGGGCUAUUGUCGUCCUAGUGGCCCGCGGGGUCCCACUGAUACGUGACGCGUGGGUCGCCAGUGACGAAGCCCCAUCAGGAAGGCCUCCCGGGAAGCGAUGAGUCCAGGGAGCCUGCCUCGAGGAAACGACCCUUGGUGGGGGAGAAGCUAAGGGCCGAGUACAAGAAGCCCCCGAGAACCCCGGUCCCGGGAAGCUGAAGGAAUGCCUCCCGGCAACCAACCAGGUGUGCUAGCCGGGGAGGGGCACCCCAGCAAUCCGCGCUCGGGGAUGCAGGCGGGGCCCGCAGAACAGUGAAGACAGGACAAGACGGCGGGCGCAGUGCAUUUAAUGCACCGACAAGAGUAUUAUCAACAGGCCUGGUCUUGCUGAGCAAGGCUAGGGUGACUACCCUGCGAACCGUGUUUUCUACCAUGUACAGUAGACAGGACGCUGCAUGGCGUCUAGCACGGAUCAACCGAAGUGUAUCUCGUGUGGCCGUGACACGCGUCUGGGAAACGUGUCACGCUGCAUGCUUAGGCAACUGUGGUAUCUCCUUGUCUAUAAAAGGAGAACUAAUGCCACCGGUCAAAGGGUUCCAACCUCAGUUAUUAGAGCACAGCACAACAUUCACCUAAGUAGCUAACUCGGGAACCUCUCGGGUGAUCUGUACGAACUCAAACUUGUGAAUACAACUCAAAGCAGGACGUAGGGUAUUACACCUCCGGGUGGCCCGAACCUGGGUAAACUCUUGUGUCUACACUUCGUGUCUAUCGCCAUGCCGACGAUCGCCAGAGCGAUCACCUCGCCGUCCACCGAACAAAAAAGGGGGUGCCUGGCAUCCCCGGUGCCCGAGACCGUGCUCCGACAUCCUACGAACCUCGAAAAUCUAUGUUAGGUAGGGUUGCUUCUCCAGUCCAUACUUACCAAUCAUCUCGGUCCAACAUUUCUCAAACUCCUCUUCGCUGCACAUCAUGUCUACCACGUGGUGGAAAUCUGUACGAAACUCGCUACGUUUACCAUACAAAGCGCCGAGGGAUUCUUUUGCCUUCUUGAGCACAUGCCACUUGCACCACCUGUGCAUCGUAUUUGGAAAGACAUCAGCUAUUGCCACCUCCAUGGCCCGGGCCUGGUCUGCAGUAAUCAAUUUUUAUAUUAGAACUACAACUCACAAAGGAGUAUUGGCUGCCUAAGAAAAAUACGACAACUAGAAUAAAUUGCCAGGAUAAUAUUAGCAAAAAAAUGAUUACCUGUCAGUAUAGUCUUCAGGUGCUUGUCCUUCCCGCCUAUCAUCCUCAUGAAUUUGGCGAACACCCACUUGAAAGUUUCCACCUUCUCGUCACGCAUGAGCACCCCACCCAGGAUUAUGCUCUGGAAGUGGUUGUUAACUCCCACGAAAAGGCUGAAAGGCAUGUCAUAUAGGUUUGUUCUAUACGUUGUGUCAAACCAUUAGUACGUCACCAAAACAAAUAUACUGAUACAUGCUCCUACCAGAAGUCCACAUCAAUGUUUUAAUCCUGCUUUCGUCGUCCACUUGGGCGGUAUACUUGAAAUCAGGAUCAGCUUCAAGCAUCUUACUGAAGACGUCCAUUGUUUUCACCGCAUCGUUGUCGGACUGUUCCUGGCUAAUCUUGCCGCAGAGUGUUUUCAAGGAGCGCUUCAUGAAAGGAAUUUGGUCCAUCGAACCGAAGAAACUACCUAUGAUGCUAUAAACUUUUCCCAAGCUAACGUUGUUCUCCCUAAGCUGCUUAAUUAACUCCUUAGUGUAACGGUCGAUGUGCCUAUGUGAUUGCCAAUGCAGCUUCUCGCCACAGGUGGUUGACAAUGGGUGAUUGUGAGUCUCUCUGUGCUCACAUAUGUACCAGCCGCCAUCAUCCGAACGAAGAAGCCUAAUCAAUGCGGUGCAGGCGCACCUGAUAGUCUUGGUGUUCUCCUUGACCGGCUUCCCUGCAGAUAGAGAAAUCAGAAACUAUCAGGCAAACAAGGUUGCGGGUCGAACAAAGGGAUGGAGGAUCAAAUCAAACUCGUUGUACCGCGCAACCACAAACAAUCUCCUGCAUGCAUUUCUGCCUGUGCACGUUGAGCCUGCACUUUGCAUACCUGACCCCAAAACCUAUCUCCCAAGAAUACAGGUUGUAAAAAUUGUAAGCGUCAUCCAGGCUAUCAAAUUUCGUCGCUACUGCAGGGUAGACGACGAACUGGCUUCUCUUCUCCACAAAUUUCUUCACCGACAGCUCCAGCGCUGACGCUCUAGCUGGAUUUGACGGCUGUUCCAACGUCCCAGCAGGCACUCUCACCCUGCGGCUCGGCAAACGAGAAAUUUCAUAAUGAAAACCACAUACUAGUUGAAAACAUUCAGGGCAACCAAAAACACACAAUGCAUAAUGCAAGUUAGUUGUUAACAUCACCUCCGUUUCCAUCCUUCCGAAUUGAUCGUCAUCAACGCUCCACCGACGCAAGGAUCCGUUUGCCCGGCAUUGUUCGUUGUACCGUUCGUCACCAUGGGCAUGCUACCGCAUAUGUGCGUAGAGUCGAUCCUAUCAAGCACAACAUCGCCAGUUGCGUCGAGAUGUCCGGCCGGAGGAUCACCAAAUACACCGGCCACCAUUAACGGACUAUCUACCAUGAUGCCAGUCUUCCUCCUCCGCGGAACAGGAAAAAAUCAAUGGUACGGUGUUCCACCUGCUCGAGAAAGCGUCGGAUCUCCGUUAAUUCUGAAACUUAGCGGUACUAGAGGAUGCUUAAGUGUCGAGAUAUCACAUACCGUGAGUGAUCUUCGCAGUUCUCGGUGGGGCGAAUCACACACCGCGCUUGAUCUACACCCAGCUGAGGUGCUUCGGAGGCAAGCCAAAUGGCCUCUCCGUCGAAGCAGGUUUGUUUUACAGGAGGUUGGUGUUCUAGCUUUGGACUACUUCGAAAAUGCGCUUUAAUACACUACACGCGCGAUGUGCGGUCGGUUCAAAUUAAUUCAAACAUGAACAAAAACGACCCCAUUUGUUCAUUUCCCACUACACAGCGGGGCCAAUGUAAAUGCUGUGCCACGUUAAAAAUGGUACAUGUAUUGCAACCAACAUGUACCUGCCGAAGGCCUGGUACACCAAAUCGAAACGCUGCCUGGUCCACCUACAAACACAUGUACCAUUAACGGCCUGGUACAUCCUGGACUGGACCAGUAUUCCCUCCUAAACGAAAAUACUGUACCUGGGCCAAGGCCCCCGUAUAACGUAAUAUCCACAUUUCUGCAAGAAGCACACAUCUCCGCCUGGCCCGCGAGUUAAAGCCCGUUACCAUGCCAGAGGUGGCCCCGAUGAGCGAUCUGCGGAGCCCGGGCGCCCAACGUCCGUCUUGCCCUUGUUGAGAAUGCUCUAAGAGUGACACGCUGGCUAUGUUGUUGAGAGUUAAAAAAAAGAGUGACACGCUGGCUAAUCUGCUAUCAUGAAAAUUAGCAGAGAGACCCGAAUAUUGUUUCUCUCAUCUUCCCGAUCUCUCUCUCCCUUGGUCACUCCCCCGGCGUUAAGCAUAAAUGAACCCUUAAGACAUCUUUUUGGAAAACCAAUUCUUAUACAGUAAAAGUUAAAAAAAAACUCCGGCCUUGCUAAAGUCGUGAGCUGUUGUACAUAAUCUUUUGGUGACUGGCUAACAACUUAUUUUCAAAUCUCUACAUCGUUUCGAGCAAAUUCCGUCCAAUCUAGAAAUCCCACAGGAAAUCCUUUAUUAUUUUCUUUUUGCAGAAAAUAAAAUUAUCUUACGACUUAGAAAUAUGUUGAUUGCACCAUAUCUUUGUGUGGCCUUGCACUAUCUUUGACAACUUAAACUAGAUUCCUUCUGCUAGCUAGCAUCCUCCAGAAUUCUCCGGCAUGGAGAGCGUGCAGUCAUUUAUGGUGAUGUGCUGCAGCCAGCCCCGUUCGAACGGAUAUCGAUCAUCGCGAGCGCGUUAUUAGCGCAGUCCAUCUCCGUGCAUGCAUGAUAUGGCCGGCCGUAUGCUGUAUCUCCAUUUGUAAGAGAUCUCCCAUUGCAAUGCCAAUGCUAACGCCGCGCCUCCCAAUACGCACGCCUCCAGCGGAACGGAAGAACAACAUGAGCGCAGGGCACGACAUGCCGACAAGAUAAUCUCGAUCCGCUGAUUCACGACGUAGAAUAAUCAUACCUGAAAAAUCGCAGCAAAUCUGAAUACAGGAAAACAAAUAUUCAACAUUAUUAUAUAUAUCAGUACUACUGGUACAAUGGGGGAUUUAUUUUUAGUACAUGCAUGUCUUUUUACAGUAUAUAGAUUAGAACAACUUAUAGCAAAGAAAGACCUUGAAUGAUUUGCAAAGAUGGGAAUGGAUAAAUUUUCACUAGUUUAUUAGUAGAUGUUAAAGGAGAUAUAUACAAAUCAUGUUCUCCAUGCAGCAAUUUAUAGAUGGCCCAGGUAAUUGUAUGGACGAGAUCACCUUAGCAAUAGAGGAAAAAAUUUCAAAUCAUGGAAAGUGAUAUGGACUCACCUGAUCUAGUACGUCAUCCAUACGGAGAUCCAUUAGAACCAGGAGAAUUGUGUCAUGGAGCUGGACCAAAUCUAAACAGGUUGAACUACAGCAUAAUUUUGACUUCAUGUUGAGCGGUUUUGUUCCAAAUUUUCUAUGGCAUUAAGUUCCUCCAAGAAAUGGUCCUUAAACUCCGAAUUAUACAAUUGGUCUCUCAACUAUGUACCCUAGCAUCCGGAAUGAAAAAUUCUUAGGAAAAACCACAACACAUGUAGUAAAAUCCAUCCAAACCCGGACUAAAAGUAUCCGCUUUUUGCUAAUUGAGGGAUCAUUCCUACACUUUGCUGCUAAUUGAGGAAAAAAAACACUUUUCUCUUAAAAUAUUUACAAUCAAUCCUCAUGUACUCAUGAUCCCAAGUGCGGACAAAAUAAUAGUAGAUCGGGUCAUAGCACGUCUUGAGAGAUUUCCCCACGGUCCAUAUCUCCCUAGAAAUAAAUAAACAUAAAUGCUUCCCAACACAAGCGCUUUUAGCUAUAUACAAUAGUUCGCUCCAGCAAUGCGGUGCAAAUCGUCUAGUCACCCUUCCAUAGCCCAGCUUUAUAUAGUGAUCAAGUCUCUACUCUAUAUCAUCAGCUCAUAGUCUCCAGCUUGUUUCGCCUGAUCUUUGUGGCUUCGUGCUAAUUAACACCUGGCACUGCCCCCCGGCCCCUUGUUGUCCAGAGACGUAGGAAAGGAAAAAAAAACACAGUUUGACUGAUCAUCGGCAUGGCUUCCCGUGAGAGUUUUCUGGAGAAGGCCAGCCCUUACAUCGCCAUGAUCACCCUGAGGUUCGGCUAUGCCGGCCUGAGCAUCAUCAGCAAGCUCUCCCUCAACAGCGGGAUGAGCCAUUACGUGCUUGUCGUGUACCGCCAUGCCUUCGCUACCCUCGCCAUGGCUCCCUUCGCCCUCAUCCUCGAGAGGUAUAGCUAGCUAGCUCGCCAUGAGCAUUACUCCUAUAUAUGUGUGCGCUUGAUAUGUUGAUCUCACCUAGUUAGCCGCCUGCAUUCCAUAUCUAACGGAUCGAAACUUGACAUGAAAAUGGCAGGAAGGUGAGGCCGAAGAUGACACUGUCCAUCUUCUCCAAGAUCUUCCUCCUGGCGCUUCUCGGGUUAGUAUGCGCCUGCCCCUCUAGCUAACAGCACCAUGGAUGUGUAUAUACUUUGGCAAGGAAAAUAUCUGAAAUGAGUCUCCACGUCAAAUGACACGAAGGCUGAUUCAAAAUUUACCUGUUUUUUCUACGAGGAUUUUUACGGUACCCCAAUACUCCAAAAACUUAUAUGGAGUACCGAGCAAAUCUCACCGUCCAUAUUAAAGGGCAAAUUAGACAUUUUUUCAAAAGGUACAAAAUCCAGGGGAAAAAAUUGUUGAUCUGGGCCGGCCCAAGUGGCGGUUGUCCCUCUCGAUCCCGAUUGGAGGAACUCCAGUCGAGCGGCGGCGGAGCAUGGUUGAUGGAUGAACGAAUCAUCAAGUGAUUAAUUAAAUUUUAGUGGCCAUAAAGAACACCCGUGAAUCACUUUAGAGUUGGAAGGACCCGAUCAAUUUAUGUGGAUAAGAUGCACUUGGAAGGUCAAGUGAUUAAUCAACAAGUUUUUAGGAGAGAAGGAGAGAGAGAUAAAUCCAUUCAUCAAAAUCCAUAUGUGUGCAUGCGUGAUUAAUCAACACAUCGAUUGCAGUAGCUGCAUCAUCGCGGGACGGCGCUGAGCUGCUCCAUCUGUUCGUCCGCUGUCCGGCGCGGCAGGCGGCGGCUUCGUCCACUUCGCUCCGUCUCUUCGUCCGACCGCUGGCAUGGCGCUCUAAUCGCCCGCCGGCGCAGCAACAUCUAUUUUUUUUAACGCUCACUGAGAACCAACACCGACACCGACACGCAAUUACUAUUUUGUCUUGCAAUUCAUGGUACUCCAAUAAUUUUUGAUCGGUACUUCGUGAGACUAAUGAUGGAGUACCAGAUAAUACUGGCCAUUGGAUCAAGACAAAUGAACGGUUCAUAUUAAAUCAUGGAUAUCGUAAAAGAACUCUUUUUGUACAGGCCGGUGAUUGACCACAACUUCUACUACCUCGGGCUGAAGUACACCGGCGCGGCGUUCCUUGGCGCACUGAUCAACAUCCUGCCAGCGACGACUUUCGUCAUGGCGGUGAUCUUCAGGUGCAAUUUCUCAACCAACUUUUAUUUGCAUUUGGUGAAUGCAUGCGCGGACACCGGGAAAAGUUGGCUAAUGUCACAUGGAUCUGCUGUUUGAUUUGUGAUUUGUAGGAUGGAGAAGAUAGAGCUCAGGAAGGUGAAGUGCCAGGCCAAGAUCGCCGGGACAGUGGUGACAGGGGCCGGCGCGAUGCUGAUGACUCUCUACAAAGGCCCGCUCAUGGGGAUGGCUUGGACAAGGCAGGCGCAUGCCGGUGGUGUGGCCCCCCUUGCAGUCGGCCCCACCAGCAGGGAGAUGUUCCUCGGCUCCAUGUUCAUCGUCAUCGCCACCCUCGCCUGGUCCGCCCUCUUCAUCCUGCAGACCCACACCAUCAAGCAGUACUCGGCCCAGCUCUCUCUCACCACCCUCGUCUGCUUCACCGGCACGCUGCAAGCCGUCGUGGUCACCUUCGUCAUGGAGCGCCGGGUCUCCGUCUGGACCAUCGGCUUCGACAUGAACCUUUUCGCCGCUGCCUACGCUGUAGGAUCUAUAUAUAUAUCUUCUGCUAAAUGUCAGCGUGCAUGUAACGUACGCAUUGUGAUGGCGGGAUGAUCUUAAUUUAUCGGCGUUGCCUUGUUGUUGAUUUUCAGGGCGUCGUGGCGUCGGGCAUCGCGUACUACGUGCAGGGGCUAGUGAUCGAGAAGAGAGGGCCGGUGUUUGCCUCGGCGUUCACCCCGCUCGGGUUGAUCGUCGUCGCCGUCAUGAGUUCAUUUUUCCUCGGCGAGAAGAUAUACCUCGGGGGCGUCCUGGGCGGCCUGGUAAUUGUGGUCGGGCUCUGUGCCGUCCUCUGGGGCAAGCACAAGGAGAUGCAGGAGAUGGAAACGGAUGCCAAGUCCGCGCUGCCGGUGGCCACCAAGGCAGAUGACCCAAACAUGGAGACCGUUGCCGGUGGCGGUGCCGGAGAUGAGGACACGGAGUGCAAGCUCGUCCCCUCUAACGGAAAAGUAGGUGGAGCUAGUGCAGUUUGAUGCAUGCAUGGAUGGUUUUAGGUGGCUUAAAACUUAAUUCACGAUUGGGACCGACAUGUGGUCGGAUUCGAUCGUGUACCUCCGGGGCACGGAGGGAAGGAAAUAGUACAACCGAAUUCUCAACUCUCGUGUCCAUCUACUUCGUACAAGUUAUGAUGCCUACGAUUCGUACGUCCAUCGGCCGUUGGCGGAUCUGUGGAGUAUCAGCACGUGUGCCUGCCAUCGUAUUCCUGACCAUCACGGAUACAGAUACUAGCACUGGCUGAUCUCCACUCCGGCCGGGCCCUGUAAUCCUGUAAUAUAUCUCAGGCAGCAGCUGCCAACAGCUGAUACCUCUGUCUCUGGCGUGCGUGUCUCGUCUGCGAAUCAACCCAAACGCAACUAGCUUCCCGUAGAUGUCGCCUAAGCGGCGGCGAUGCGCCGUGGUCCUCCCGGACCACCUCAUCGAGGAAAUCCUCCUGCGAUUGCCGGCCAAGUCGGUCCUCCGGUGCCGCCAGCUCCCGCGCCUGGGCCGCCACGCUCUCCUCGCCCGAUUUCGAGGACCUCUACCUCCGCGUCGCAAACAACAACAGCCUCCGCAGCGGCCCCAGGAUCUUCGCCUUCGGCGUCCAGGACAUCUGGCGGCAACACGCCCAGGAACCUAGCAACGUCCUCCCGCCGCUCACGACCGCCCCACGCGUCAUCAAACUCGACAGAUUCAGGCGCCUCGUCGCAUCUCUGCCGCCGACAACGGAAGAAGAAGAAGACCAAGGAAAGCCGCCGGGCCACGUCAACGCGUCGGUCGCCACGGCGCAGUGCCGCGGGCUCGUCGUGCUGCGAGCCUUUGCAGACGGGACCGUGUCCAGCCCCGACAUGUACUACGUCUGCAACCCGUCCACGGGCCGGAUGGCGGCUCUCCCGAAGGGCCGGACGACGGGCUUCCGCGGCUCUAGGGAAAGGUACCACAGCCUUGGGCUCGGCUAUGACGCCCGGAACAGGAAACACAAAGUCGUGCACAUCUGCUACCGCGGGCCACGGUCCGCUGGCUGCAAAGUCUACGUGGUAAACGGGCCCGCGGGGUCGUGGCGGCCCGUCGAAAUCGGUGGGAAGCCGAUGGGCUGGAACAGGAUAGAUCCGGGUGCUAACAGUGUCUUCGCACAAGGGCAUGUGUACUGGCUAGCCUACCGGGAGCUCUAUCCUCGACGACAAGGGAUGUUCCUCGUGUCCUCUCUCCGAGAUGACAAGCUUGGGAUCAUAAGCGUAGAGCCACUGUUGCCGUUCGGCAUGGACAACCAGCGGACUUUUCUUGAGUUGAUAGAACUUGGUGGACGACUUUGCCUCUUCGACCCCUGCUUCACGCACUCCGAUGGACCGCAUUACGACAUCUGGCAGCUGAAUAAACAUGGGUCUGGACUAGCUACAUGGGAUCUGCACUACCGAAUCGACCUAGCAAAGGUACCAUUAGAGGUCAUGCGAUUCGGGGCCAGCCCGCUCGCAGAAACUGACGCCCCAGACCAGAUAUACUCAUACGACUCUGUCACCAACAAUAUUGAGGAACUCCUUGACUGAAGCGGCCAGUCCGUCACUAAUCCUACCUUGGGUUUAACACAUGCUAAUGUGUACGAGGAAAGCAACGUCUCCCCCGGAAGGCAGCCUUGCAAAGACAUCGUCUUGAUCUCAUCACCCUCUACCCAGGCCCUGUCAUUGGUGCUGCAAUCAGGAUGGUUGUCAAAAGAACACACCGUCGGAAGGCUUAUGUGUGUCUGUCGGAGAUGGCGCUCCAUGAUCUUUUGUCAACAUAUUCCCAAAUACUACUACAUUGAUUGGUAGUGUCGUGCUUGUGACCAACACAUGGCUCACUUAACAUAGUGCAAUUUUUGUUGGUUAUUAUUACCUUUCUUUGUAUAAAUGAUCUAGAUUUAACUGCACGGAAUGGAAUAGCAAACUCCCAAAUAAGUUGCCACAACGACAAUCUCUAAGUGAACUUUAUUAUUCCCUCUUUAAAAAAGUGAGCUUGAUUAUUGACUUAUCUGUGUAAAUACCAAGAAGCUUCUAUAAUUGGCGGGAAGUAUCAGAAAACCAUCAUUUUUAUUUUUUUCUCACUAAGCACAAUUCAUGUGCUAUUUGGUUAAAAUCAAAUGGUUUGAUACAAACAUGUCGAUAUCCCAAUUAAAUCGGGCACCGGAAAACGAAUUUGACUUCGGCUUGCGUGACCAAAGACAACCGUGCCGCGCCUCGUUAGCAUGAGCCAGAUCUUCCAUGGCCGCAGGAGCACAAGAAACCAUUGGUUGGGAAGGUUGAGGCUAGUGCAUCUCCCAUAGGACGAUCCAACAAUAGUGGGCUUAUUAGUUUUUUUUGACCAAUAAUUUGAUAUUAUUCUAUUAAUAUAAUGUUAUACAACAUAAAUUGAUAUCAUUAUUUUCUAUUCAAGAAUACUUGCUUAUGGUCUUGGUCAAGCCAAACCUAAUAUGCUCACUAUUGUUGGAUGGAGGGAGUAGCCAGAGGACUGGGCCUCACCUGUCAGCAGUUAAUCGCUCUAUGUGGGCCCCACCUGUAAGUAGUUGACCCGAGCCCCUUUGCUCUGUGCACAGCGCUGCGGCGCCUCCACCCGUGCCGGCCCGCCCCGUGCUGCGCCUCCCCGCGAAUUUCUUCUGAUCCGCGGCGCCCCUACAAAUUUCCCUUGCUCGGCGCCGCCCACAAUCCCUCGAAUCAGCGGAGCUUUGGGAUGACCAGGCCAACAACAUCUGAUGGAUGCAAAAUCUUGUCAAUAAGAUACGUGGGGACUAGUUGAGUCCCCAGAUGCGAGGAGUUACAUAGCACAGCCAACUCGCGAGCUCACCUUCGAUAAUGGCAGCGACGGUCGGCGGGGAAGAUGACUAUGGCACAUGGUCUACCAUGGAUUUUAGGAGAAACUGUGAAUUGGAAACGAUGUAGGAGUGCGAGGGGGUCACAGUGACGCGCUAGUAAUUGUGUUUUGUGGACUGAGGAGGGAGAUCGGAAAAGGAAUGCCAGUGGCCGGCAUUCGUGGCUUCAGUUUCAACCCGAUGAUUAAGGACGAGAAAGGGCAGUUUAGAAGAUAGAAUAGGUUCAGCAGGUGAUGACGAUCAACUUGGCGUUUUGGUUUGGAAAGGAACGGUCGGCAGCGAGCGAAUCUAAGGAGAUUUCAAACGGCGGCGAGCAUCACGCGUGCUUCUGCGCAGGGAGGAUAACGCAGCACGAGAGGGGAAGAAGAAGGCCCAGCUGCUGGUAGAUGGGCUGGGUUGGCCCAACAAGGUAAGCACCGGAAGCACGUGUGCUUUUAGUUUUUUGAGUUUCAGGAACUUUUGCAAAUGUUUGAAAGCUCAAACUUGAUCCAAACUUUAUGUAAAAGGUGGAUGUUAAAUUUUGAUACAGUGAGUUUACAUAGGACCUGUGUCAUUUUGGGCACUACGAACAAACAUCCGAACUCAACCUAUGAAAAUGUGCUAGGAAAAUGGCCUCAACCUACCUAAAUGGACCAUUUUGUAGCUACCAUCGAAAUUCAACUUUCGCAAAAUGAGGAUGUGAAUGCGAAAAUGGAUUCUCCAUCAAACUCAAAGCCACCAACGAAAAUUCAAAACGGUAUGAGUAAGUUUGACCAGGUCUGAACAAGGUUUGACUUUUCUAUAUCAGGGUUUGAUUGUGUUUUAAACCAACAUGGUUCACAGAAUGUAUCCAUUUUUAUUGCAUAUAUGGAUUCUACAAGCAAAGUUAUGUCCGCUCAAGAAAAUUCAAACCCAUUUGAAGAGUUUGACGUUUUUUUGACCUGUUUGACCAGUGCUUGACUCUAUGCAAAACAUGUUUAAAAUACAUUUUUUGGCAAAAUUAGUUUUACAUUCAUGUAGUACUAGCCUAAAGGAGCAAUACUACCAAAUUUGACAUGAUUCCAACAAAGUUGCAUGAUGAGUUUUCAAAGUGGGAUCAAAUCUCCAACAUAUAAGUGAGUGUUUAGAUAACAUCUUAUAGAGAUGUGCCUAUUUCAACACAAACUAUACUAAGGGAAAAACAUAUACCUCUCAAAAUUUGAAUGGGAAGCACUUAUGAUAAAAGAAGAAACUACGCAAAAAUUCAAAACCGUUUGAGUAGGUUUGACUUGUUUUCGCCGAGGUUUGACUUGAUUUGACCGGGUUUGACUUUAUCAAGCUCAACAGUUCAGCUCUGUCAGAUCAGAUGUAGACCUCAUUGAUCAUGAAUAAUUUAUUUCAUGGAGAUGGCAUAAUCAAGGUACAUAUACAGCAAGCACUGCUCAUCAAACUCUGGAAAGCCAAUGCAAAGUCCAACCGAAAUGUUGAUUUUUCCAUUGGCUCUAGAUUCAGUAAAAGAUAUUAUGACGGUUGACUAGCUAACAAUCAGUUUUUUUUUCCACACGAUGUUGUAAGCUGCUGAAAUCUGCACCCAACUCAUCCUUUCAUGCCCUUACUUCAGGCCAGGGGGUAUGUCAGCUAUCACCUUCGUGGGUAAAUUGUUCUCAGCUCUAAAUCCCACCACGUGAUGACUAAUAUGAUAGCCAGAUCCAAUGGUAUGAGGGAGCAUCAUCCUCAGCAUAAAUAAAGACCAGCUAAUAUGUGCAGAAGGUGUUUAGAAUAGAUAUCGAACGAAAGGAGUCGUCGAACUUUUCAAUCUCAAUUUUCCAGUGAGUUUGCAGAAAAUAUACAAGCUCAUCAAGCAUGAGAUUCUUCUUUUCAGGAUGUCAAGCAAAUGGGACUUUCUUGGUGUUGAGCAACAGCCUGUGGUUGCCGACAAUAGCUAGUAAUCCAUCAGUAGUUUCUGUCAGCCUCUCCGCCCGGCCUUCCGCUUCGAAGCUUUCUUCUUUUUUGAAGUUGCUCAUCAAGCAUGAGAUUCUUCUUUUCACGAUGUCAAGCAAAUGGGACUUCCUUGGUGUUGAGCAACAGCCUGUGGUUGCCGACAAUAGCUAGUAAUCCAUCAGUAUUUUCUGUCAGCCUCUCCGCCUGGCCUUCCGCUUGGAAGCUUUCUUCUUUUUAAAAGUUAAACGGUAAGAGUUGCGCGAUUGCAGUCCGACAGUAUAUCUAUAUAUUUUUUACAAAGUUAGACACCAAAGUGCGACCUUCGAGGAUCAAACUCUGAUGCAGCCCACCUGGCUGGCUGACCAUCCAAGCUAUGCUUGGUUUUCGCUUUCUUCUUUUCGUUUUCCAACUCUUGUAACAUUGCAAGGCAACUGCUAUUCUUAAUGCAUGGGGCUGUGGGACUCCUGUCCUCCUCCUUACCUCAACUAAAAAAAACUAGGUAUUUUGUAAACUCAUUGCAACGGUAAUUAUCCGAAUUUGAUUCAUGGGUAGAACUUCUACGUCCUAUUGUCCAUGCAAAAUUGAUGGUUUGACUCAAUGUACCAUGUGUUAUUUAUAAUCUGCAGCUUUUGAUGUUACUUCUGUACAAAAUACUUGCUUUGGCGUUCUGUUCAUCAAUGUAUUAUCCAAAAUUAAUGGUCCCGGGCAAUAGCAUAUGAAUAGUUUAUCAGGUUUCCUUGACCUUCUGCACAAUCAAUGAAUAUGUACUCAAUACUUAAAACUAGUGAAGAGUUCAAUUAGGAAUCAGGUGCAAUCUGCAUCUGUCACUACUGUGUUUUGUAACAACAUAGGCCCUUGCCUAUAUUUCAUUAAAACGAACCCAAACAGGGCUUGACAGCACGGCAAAGAAGGAAAGAGUUCAUACAAGAGAUACAAAGACAGAGCUAGCAAAACUUUUAAAAAGGAAGAAAUAACAGAAAAACUGGAAGCAACGGUAGCAGUUAGUCCGGCCGGCCACGACUCUAUAUAUCCACAGAUUCAGACUGUCCUGUCUUACCACCAUUGCAGCCGGAACCUCAAUAUUCCAGUAAACCACCAAGAAAAUAAAGCUCCAAGCUGGACGUUCUGACUGAUCCAAACCAUUAAAACAAUCAGCAAACAUAUCCCCCGGACACAUAGCCCCUGUUUGAUUGAUCCCUACCGGCAUCAUACUAAUUUUCGUCCAGGAACAGUCCAAAGCAAAGUGAAAGACAGUUUCACUAACAUUAUAACCGAAACUGCGAAAAGGCGCCUACCAUUCGUCCGCAAUUGAUUGCUUCGAUACUCUAAAAACAAUUGAUUGCUUCAAAAAAAAAACAAUUGAUUGCUUCAGCAACAUAUAUAUCUGACCGUAAUCCUUUGUUUGAUAAGAAGCCAAGCGAAAAUUCUUACCCUUCUUUGGUCCAGCUCAGGACCAGAUAUCAGGGUAUCCUAUAUUUUUCAGUUUAAGACCACAAAAAAUCAUCGAGAGUAAGCAGAAGCGAUUCACACAGUGCAUUUGUUAAUUCCUUGUUAAACCAAAAAUGACUCCAGGUACUGAAACUCUUCACUGCACCUCUUAUCCUGAAAACUAAAGAGCAGCAUCAUGCAAAGAUAUUCUGCCAAAUUAUAAGAAAACAGAGGCAUUGCUGAAAUCCAGAAAAGGCAUCAUGGAAGAUUACCGCAAAGCAAGGGAGACCAUCUAUCGGCUGCCACAAGUCAAUUACUGAAAAAUACAACAAGUGCAGUAAGAGACUGCACUCUUGCACAGCAAGCUGAUGACAACAGACAUGCAUGCAACAGUAACUCUUUGAAUUGGCAUCCUGUUUCAUUCUUGUUUCGACAAAAGACAUACAGCCACCAGCGGCUAUCAAACCUAAAGACAUGAGAACCGGCUACUCGAACAAAACCAACUAACCCAAUCCGGGGUCAAGCUAAUAGAGUAAAUGUCCUGAUCGAUCCAAAACACAGAGACAAAAAUCAUAGCACACCUGAUCCAAAGAAAACUGGCCGAGCAGCUCUACGAUGAAACCCUGCAUGGCAGAGAACAGGAAACAGUAAGGAAAGGGUUGUGAAAAUUGAAACUAACAAACGAAUGCAACAAGACGACUUACAUGGAAACUCCAGUGCUCGAAGAGUCGUCGGAGCUUGGCUGAUGAUCGUCCGUUGAAUUAGUCCAGUCAACCUCUAGUUUCUUCCAGGCCCGCUCAUGCACGGCCGUCACAGUCCCAUAGACGACGCUGACACGGCUCGACGGCGCCGUGUCUAGGAUGCCAGGCCGCAGCACGGCGGUGCGGAUGCUCACCCUCAUGCCCGGCACCCAGUGAGCCUGAAGACCUGCGUCAACCUCCUCGCGUGGCACUAGAAACUCCGGUCCUAGUCGAGGGAACCAAGUCACGGUGAAGGCGUUGCCAUCUGCGGCCAGCCGUGCGGCAUCCAUCACGUCCUCGAGGCUGACUAGCGGGGCAGGGUUCUGCGUGCGCUGCAGGGCGAUCAGCAGCCUGUCGCGGCUCCGCAUGAAGGGCAGCACGUCUCCGGCGACAAGGGACUUGGUUUUCCUGAAGGCGUUCCAGCCAGAGGUAAGCAGAUGUUUCCGCCGGCCGCCGGGGAAGCCCGUGUACUUGUGCCGGAACCGCCACACUUGUCCCCUCAGAUCCGAGAAGUACAGGUACUGGUCGUCGCGCCCGUCGUCGAGGGCAGGGAAUAUCCCGGUCGCGCAGGGGAUGGGUACAUGGAACGAGCGGCCCUUGCCAGCGUCGCCAUUCGUUACCACCUUGGGGAAGACGUGGAUGCAGUCCGCAUUGUGCUGCAGAGCGGCGGGGGCUUGGUUGGCCUGCGGGUCGGCGCCAGGAUGGAGCGUGAUGGUGGCGCAGACCUCGUCGCGGCUGGUGGUGAAGAGCCCGACUGCCCUAACGGUGCAGACGAACUUGUCGGCGAGCUGUCCUUGCUCCGUGGAGCACCGUGGCACUGCUCGGCGUGGCCGAGGGGCAAGUAGUAGACCUCAGAGCCGACCUCGGGCAGGCGCGACAGCGGGGACGCGCACGCGAGCCAGAGGCGCCGGUCCAGGGCGGCAGGGUGCCCGGCGGGGAGCGGCUGCGCCAUUCCGUAGAUUGGGAUGGAGGAGGAAGUGGAGGCUUCUGGAUGAACAAUCGCUCCACCCGCACUUAUAUGGGCUCGGCCGGUGCUGCUGCGCCGGCUGGCAUGAGCCAGCCUGGCGACGUAACCGCCUGCAACUGCAAAUUCACCUCGCCGGGAAGUGAAACCCGUGCGGUCAAAAUUCUCAACGCAGGGGGUGCGGAACAUGUUACCGCGAAUUUCCCUGGCUUCUCCCACAAGCCACACCGAUAACAGGAAGUAAAUAAGACAUCAACCGAUCGGCGGGCCUCGAAGACAUUUCGUCGAACAGUUCGAGGGCGGCCUAACUAUUUGUUUCCGUGCAGUCGAAAUUAAGAUUCAAAUAGGUUCGGAUUCCUCAAACGGUCUAUGCUGUGUGGCCGUCACAAUGGCCCGGAAUUGGAGACUUGGAGGUCAGGGGAUCGAACCCUCCUUUUCUCUCAUCUAUAUAUUGUGUUUUCUUACCUUUUGCCUAACCAAAGAAAACAAAAGCAAUUUUGUGGGGCUUCGUUGAUGAAUUCAAUGAACAGAGAAAGGGAAUUUCUUGCAUCCGAAGCUGUAGGUACAAGUUUAAUUCGUCCACCCCCGUCACAAGCCAGCGCCUACCUUUUAUCGUUCCGCGUAGGUUCUAGCGGUCCAAAUUCUCCAUGAAUUAUAAGCAAAAUCGUCGGGCCAAGCGAGGCCGAAAAUAUAUUCAUUUUAGGUUGAUUUUGUAGAGUCAUAUACUUCGUCUCGGUCUCCAGGGAUAAGAAGGUUAUAUGCCAAAUCAAUAUUCAUGACAAUGUGGUCCAUAAAUAAUGCUUAGCUUAUUUAAAGAUAGCUUGUAAUUUAAGCCAUUUUGUGGGUCUUCAUUGAUGAAUUCAAUGAACAAGGAAUUUAGAUAUGGAAAAUUUCAUAUUGCCAUCCCAAUUUUGCCCAAAUGCCACACAAAAUUUCUUAGUUCUAGAUACCAAAUUUUGUAUUGGUAUAAGUAUACCGCUACAGUGAGAAUAAUUGAGCUGAGGAUCAGAGGGUGAUUGUUGAUAUGUGGGCUGGUUUGCAGAAGCAUGAUGCCAAGGUGAUGUUGCGCCAGUUUUCUCUGCGGCCGUGAUGAGUCAUGGGUGAAGUCUUCAAUCGAUCGCGGGAAUGGGCUCCCGGUACCUAUCCACUAACAGGUUGAAGACUGUCGCUGGAGCUUUUUCUAGGGAGCUCUUUUACAGUACUCCGGAUUUAAUAUGAGCCGUUUAUUUGUCCAGAUCUAAUAGCUAUCAUUGCUUGGUACUCCAUCUUAAUCCCACGGAGCACAUGGUGGAAAAAUCAGGGAGUACACGAAUUGGAUGGCAAACUUGUAAUUACGUUUGACCUGAGGUCCUUGGGAUUUUGAUUUGCAAUUAAGAAAAAAAAAAGAAACAUGGUUAUUCGGUCUUCCUUCCUGAUCUAAUCGAGGCGCUGGCGGAGGGGACGAGGGGCGGCCGCCAGAGCUCGAUGUCGCCCUGCUGCUCCAUGCCGCGCCUUUCCCCGCCCCCGACGAGCCGCAUCGAGUGCUCCUAGAGCUCCGCCUGCAGCCCUGCCCGACCUGCCCGCCGCCGUGCUCGAAGAAGAUGGCCGGCUCUGCCGAGUGCCGCUGGCUGCCCCAUGCUCCGCCCCGACGAAGCCUCCCUCCAUGGCCUUCGUCUCAAGGCUGUCGUCUCCAUGGCCGUGGUCUGCAUCGAGCCUGCCAUGUCCUCCCCGCGCCGCACCCGACGCCGCCCAGACCCCAGCAGCUGACCUCGCCCUCCACGCCGUCCGGCACCGCCGCUUCCUCUGCCCCGCCCUUGCACGCGCCGCCCGCUGAUCUGCUGCCCGUGCCUUCCGCCGCCCAGCGUUGCCCCGCGCCCGCCCACGGUCUUCUUGGAUGUGGAUCGGGAUGUGCAGGAGCGCGAGCAUGGCGGCGUCGUGGGCGCGGCCCGUGGACUCGCGGUGAGGUGCGUGCCGAGCCAGAGCCGCUUGCCGUGCGCGCCCAGGACGCGCACCUCGCACACCCAACGGCCCGCGGCGCCGCGGUGGCGCACGCCGCGGUACACCGGGUGGCGCGUCUCCUUGAACUUGGUGCGCCCCGCCGGGCGCUUCGACCACACCGCUAAGCCUUCUUGCCUGCCGUCGUCGUGCGACGAGGAAGAAGGUGAGCUGUCUGGGAUUGCUCGAUCGCCACUUUGGUGCAUGAGGUGAGAGUGUAUGUUCUUAGUCAGAUGGUUACGUCAAAUGCAGGAAGUUCGCAGUAUACGAAAUGAGUGAUCGGCUGCGACCUGUAAGGACCGUGAAGGUGACAAGUCUUUUUGCACUGGCUUCUUGAAACAGGUUAGCUAAUAUUGGAUCAUGUCACUUCUGCACAAAUAUGGCAUUCCUUCUGUGAUCAUGGUCAUUAUCUGCAAUUGGUUAAUUUUGAAGCAGCGUGUAUGUGUUGCCGCAUGACAUUUGUUGGUAUGGAAGUAAUUUCUUAUGCCCUUCGUAGUUGAAACUGAGAUUCUAUGAGGUGCAGAGUAUGUCAAAUUUCCUAGAAUUUUGGUGUAUGCAUAAUUAAUGUCCUGAUUAAGCAAGGUCAGAAGAGGGAAAACGAAAUCUGGUCCAUAGUUUGAGAAAUAUAAUGCAUCCACUGUCAGUUCUGACUUCGUUGCAGAGUGAAAUAUGACCAUACUCACUGAACUCCCAUUCUAUAAUUUGAUACCAUGGACUAAAUUUUAGUCAGCAAAAUUUGGAUGGCAUGAAUUAAGUUAGCUCAAUAUCCCGGUCACCACGUGUAAAACCAGAUUGAAAAAUUAUCACCACGUGGCAUGAAUUAAGUUAGCUUCUCCAAGUGGAAAGAAUGAACUUGUGCCGCACUCUACCGAAAUAUUGCACAACUUUAUGCACAUGAUUAGAUGAAAAUGACAAAGGUAUGAAAAUAAUACUGAGCACCAGCAGGCAAUGAUUCGAAAUGUUUAGGUGUACAUUGAAGAAUAAUUAUGGAGUCUAACAGCACCGGACAAAAUAUGAUAAAAGAAGGAGACGAACUAUAUUUAUGGCGUAACAGAAAUAUAGGACUACUUGCUAUGACAGACGCAUAUCUAUGAUUCAGAACUAUCACUGGAGACUGGAAUUUCUUCUUCACUUUCUUGCAUUUGCAUAUCCCUGAUCUUGAUUUUGUUCAGCACACUGUAGAGGAUGUCACAUGGUAGCCGCCUCCUGAAAAUUUCUAUAUCUUUCUGCAUAUGUGUAGUAAAGUAGUUAAGCAUGGAUCCAAGGAUGAAAUUUACAGUGCAUGUAGGAAUAAUAUUCGAAAUCUUCACCUGUGAAAAUCUCUUGGACAGCUUGGAUCCCGACCAUAGUUGUAUGUACUUGAUGACAAAAAGGCCACAUGAUGUCAUGAAUGAAUUAAUUAGGAUUUCAUUCGUUGAGUUUAUAAAAAGAAGAUUAGACAUUGGCGAUGAAUGUACAUACCCGUCUUUCUGCCUUGGCACAUGGUUGAUAUUUACGUGCUCCCAUGAAUUAACAUUUAAGUCUGGCCACCUAUUAAAUCUGUCCACUUCCAUGGGACUAUCUUUGGCCAUCCUUAAAUACAUCUCCAUCCCUUCCAGCUGAUAAUGGUUUGUUCAAGUGGUUAAUGUACAAUGUUAAGUGUGUGUGUGGGUGUGGGUGGGUGGGGGUGGGGGGGGGGGGGGCAAAUAAUAAGUUUACAGGUUGGACUACAAGCCACUGUUUCCUGCAGAACAAGGGAUUAUGCAUAUAAGAUUUUCACAUAUAUAUAUGAUUUGUAAUGACUAGUGAUGUAUGCUUUAGAUAUUGUUUUGCUUAACGCAGGAGUUUUGGGCUCAGAUGAGGGAGAUUGGUCACUGGAGGGAGAUGGAUCCUGAUGGAAGACAAAACACAGGUCAGAAAAACACAGGGCAAAUAUAUUUUAUACUGUUCAUGUACUGGUUUUGAAGUUAAAAUUCGGAUCAUGCUGACCUUGUUUGUUGUUGCAGAUUUCUUGCUCUUCGUCGGAGGGAAAAAGUUGGUCUCCAUUGGCGGCGGCCGCCGGGAACAGAACGAAAGAUUAGCUACAAGGCGGCGGCGGUCAGGAACAGAACGAAGAUUAGCUAGAUGGCGGCGGCCGGAAACAGAACUCAAGAUUCAUUUGCUGCCCGGAUCAGAACUAAAGAUUGUAUAUAUAGAGAGGCCGGAAUACCAGAUUUGAUGUAUCGUAACUGACUAAUAUAUGGUGCAACUUAGGAAAAUAGUAUGUCACGUAUACUGGCCCUUUGGUGUUGGAAAAAUAUCUUAUAUUUUGGGCGCGGGGGCUAUACUCGUCACGUACUCUGGGCUUGUUGCAUCUGUUACUGCCUAUAUGCUUUUGUGGCUAGCUUGUAGAUAGACGCCUGCACAUCAAGAGAUAAUGGUUCGUGGCGCAGGAGGGUCUCUGGCGGCUGCCGCCGCUCGUGCUACCGGAGAAGAAGACUUUCGUGCCUGUAUAUGAACUAUAUGCAGCAGGAUAUGAAUGUAUUACUGGAAUUGUUAUUGCACCGAAAGAGAAACUCUGUAUAAACAGCCAAGUCAGAGGGAAUUAAAAACUGCUGGUUCAUUCUGCCCUCAAACGAAUGAAGAAAUCAUUAGAAGCUGCGCCUAUCAAUUAUCAGUAAUGUCUUUUGCUCGAGAACUGACAAUCUGUCAACGCAAGAAUUAUGUACAACAGAACAUUGCUACAACCGACAAAUAAUUAAACCAAAAAUGGAUAACUUCAUUCAUUACAGACAAAGAUGCAUGUUCCUGCUUUAAUCACAUAAGUUUUACAAUCAAUACUUGGGCGUAUACAUGAUAUAUUUUCUACUCUAGGGGGCUACAAAACUUGGUGCAUAGUGUUUCACUCCCUGCCAUAGCAUCAACCUGUUCAUCUGUCAUGUUCUCAGUAUACUGUACAUUUGCCAUUUGCUGAAUCAGUUCCUGCAUGGUUUAUCAUUUUUAAACAUCAGAUUCAUGCAAUUCCUAGGCACCAAGGCAGUUUCGAAGUAGCCAACAAACCUCCAGUACAACAAGCUCAGUGCCCAAUCCUUUCUUCAGUUGAUUAACAAUGUAUUGGAAAAGGCAUUUUAGCUCCAUGCAAAGAUGCUUCUUGCAGCUGUUAAAAUCUACUCGUUCAGAAUAGGAGCAUAGAGAAAGGUGUAUAGCAGUAGAAGAAAUUACUUCCAUUUUCAAAACAUAGUUGGGAUUUAUUCAAAGAGUCAACUGACAACAGUAACUAUCGGUCUAUCAAAGUUCAGGUUCAGCUAUGAUUAACAACAGUAACAAUAAAAUGGAGUAUUGGUAAAUCUGUGAUAUCUUUGUUAUAUGAUUUUUUUUCUCGGAUGCCAUUUCAAUAUGAGCAAACAAAAAUUAAUCCUUCAAAUAUUUAGGUUAUAAAUCAGUGCUUGCCAUCCUGAACCAACAGCUACGCCUGCAACCAGCAAGAAUAUGCAGUGCAGAGUUUAGCACCUCUCGUCCUGUGAACUAGCCGGGUAAAAAAACAUGUCAGGUCAGGUUCAAGCUUGCCUUGCCCGACGAGAAGAGCAAGGCGAUCUGGUCGUUGUAGGCGAGGACCAACCACCAGGAUAACUACUUCAGUUUUGGACAAGUGCGCCUGUCAUGUGUGGAAUCGCCACAUUCGCCGCACGAUCUGUUUCGCCUCUUGUGCCCAUUCGACUGCCUCAAUGUCUCAUGAAAUGGUUUCAUUCUCUUCUUUGAUGGAGCACCUUUUGUCACGAUUAUUUUUGGAUCAAGGACUUUCUCCCCAAAAACAUUGCUUGAGGCAGAAUAAUGGGAUGGUAUAGGACCAAAAGUUGUCUCAUCUGGGGUCCCAUCAUUCUCAACAGGGCCAUCGAGAAUGCUUUGCAGAAAAUCCAUCACCUGCUGCAAACGCUCUUCGCUCUUCGAAGCUUUGAAUAGAGCAACACUAGCCUUGUUUCGCAUUUGCCGGUAAUGACCCAUCUCUUCUGACCACACAUGUGUAUUGGCAUUUGUCUCCGACACGAAUGCGGCCUUGGCUUGCAUUGUCCACCUAAUCCGAACACAACACGGAGGAAUGGUCUCUACACCUAGGAAACUCAGAACAGAAAAAAUGUGUGAACAUGGGACAGCUUCGCACUCCAAUUUGCGGCAACCACAGAAGAUGCCAUUCAUUGAAGAGCCAUGAAAUGAACACUCUACAAAGAAGACAUGUCUACUCCCUCCUUCGGCUCCUUCUUUUAAUGCAGCUCUAUAGGUGACCAAGCCAUCUCUCUCUGUAUGCUCUUCAAUCUCCCAUGCAGAUGAUCUGCGAAUGCAAUAUCUAACCUUCCUGAACAUCUUUGGUGUGUAAAUACAGGCAGCAUUUUUCUCUAAUGGAUUAGCAUCUAUUCUAGUGAAAGGGACUGAAUUUGCAGCUUUUGCAUCCAACUCGGCCUCAUUUCUGCGGAUACAUGACAUGCAGUGCUCGCUGUGCUCCACCAAGUCAACCAACGACAUUUUCCGGUCUAGGUGAUUAUGGAGCCUAGAGUUAAGACUCUCGCUACGCUGGUUGCUCUGCAUGCCCAAAAAAUAUCUUCCAUUUGUAUAAGCCGCAGACCACCUCUUUCUAAGUUUGUACAUUCUAGACAUCCAUGCAGCCUGCUCUGUGAUCUCAUACUUUUCCUUGAACUGAGCCCAAGAUCUCUCAAACUCAUAUACUCCCAUCUUACGAUAUAUGAGUUUUCUGAAGUCCCGAAGCAUUGGAUUACGCAGGUGGCGUAUCAUGUUCUGCUCAAUGUGCCAACUGCAUAGUCGAUGGUCUGUCCUCGGCAUAACCUUCUUAAUGGCUUUCCUCGUGGCGGCGUCUCCAUCAGUGAUCACAGAUCUCGGGUUCUUAUGGCUCAUCGCCUCAAGAAAUGACUGUAGUAGCCACUCGUGCGAUGAGACAGUCUCGUCUGAAACAAUACCAACACCAAAAACAAUUGUACUGCGAUGAUGGUUCACCCCAAUGAAUGGAACAAAUGGGAGAUUAUACCGAUUAACCCGAUAUGUGCUGUCAAACACAACUAGGUCACCGAAUGCUUCAUAAUCAAUCUGAGAUUGUGAAUCUGCCCAGAAUAUAUUUCGAAGAUGUCCUUCAUCAUCUGUACUGUAUUUGAAGAAAAAUUCAGCAUCUCGUUCAACUUGGGCUCUCAUGUGGUUCAAGACAAAUUCAGCAUCCCUUCCUAAGAGUCUUUUCUUCUUGUACUUGGCGAAGAAAUUAUAGAGGUCACGGGAAAAAAACCCAACCUGAUCAUACCUACCAUGGUGCUUCUCCAUAACUUCCAUGAUUUGGCACGUACGAAGGCCACCAAGACCAUAUUCUACGGCAUCAGCUUUUUGAGCGUUGUUUAAACGGCGAUGUGACCGUAGAAAAGGAGACUGCUUGGGGUCAAGUGGAUGGCUGUGGACAUCAACAAAAUUCUUGAAAAAACAAAGACCCGUUCCAGGUUCUCGCUGGAUCUCAAGCAUAGCUUUACAUCCACAACGGGUGAGCACCCGUGGCUCCCUUUUUUUAUCUUUUGCUACGAAGUACUUCUCCAAACGGUACCCUUCCUUACUGCAGCAGAAACGUCUUCUUUUCAAUUCCAUGGUGCCACUAAUGUACUCCUUAUCGUCCAAUCUCACACUAAACCUUUUAGGUUUUGCAUAGCUGUUGUAGUGCUCGUAACCUUCUUCAACGCUUCCAAACAUCUGACUCACCAUCAUGUGAUAUUCUUCCAUCUCCUCCAUGCUGGCAUUAUAACCAUCCAUCUCGGAAACUGACAAACCUGACAUUAUGAAACACCAUCAUCAAAUUAGCACCUUUGUUCAAUUAUCUUUCCUCUCAAUAACAAAGUUCAAUUCUUUUUCUGCCCAAAUGGGCAGCCAUGGUGAGCUUUCAUCUCCCACUUCUGAGAUUAUUAGGUUAAGUGCUCGUUGCAAGUGGUGAUUAAAGUACAGUAAUCAUGCUGUCAAAAGUAGUAGGCUAGGUUUGUUCACAUUUCAAAAUCAGUUCUUGUUACCCUACAUGGUUCACUGCAAAUUCCACAGGGUACAAGAUGACAGGCCAAGAGCAGAGGGACGGAGGAGGAGGAGGAGAAGGGGGACAUGAGACACUCACGGGAGCGCGACGAGUACGAAGAGCAGGAGCGCGGGGACGAAGGAGUACUUGACGGCGGUGGCGAAGAUGGAGGCGGAGAUGAGCACGAGCAGCAGCGACGCGCCAGCCCAGACCAGCGCGCCCGUCAGAGCCACGGCCACGGCCGCGGCGCUUAGGCGGCGGGGUGGCGGCGCACUGGGGGGCGGCGGCGCUAGGGCUGGGGGUGGCGGCAGCGCUCAGGCGGCGGGGUGGUGGCUGCGCGGAGGCGAAGGAGGUGCCUGUUCCUGAUCGGUCUGUGAUAAACUGAUAAUCCGAUCUAUUUGAUUAAGGGGUGAAAAGACCAAUGUACCCUUCUGAUAUCAGCCGUUGAUGCUUUUGGUACUCCCGUGUACGUUUUUGAGUACCGGGUACCGUAAAUUUUCUCUUGCUAGGCUAAGGAGUUCAGAACAGGUUGCUGAUAGGGUAGCAUGCUAUUAGCAUGUCGUUGGAGUAGGUUUCGGUGUAACUUAUUUGGCCUGAGUUUUUUUUUAAACCGUCCGCAGCCGCACUCCAUGCCAAAGCAUGAACGGAGACAAAAGUUCUUGCAGAAUUAAACGACAACAGGAAAAAGAAAGGUUGGCGUCAAUUGACGUCCACAGAAUUAGACAAGGCCCAAGGCCUGGCUCUAUCCUGUGUCCAUGAGAACAGAUAACAGACACCAGCUUCCGAAACAUCAACACAUCAACAGGCAGUCGCGCACCAACACAUCCUUGCUGACAUGCGUUCCCCCUCAGACGAUAUCAACCCAUUGUACUUGCCAGAAGAACACACCGUCGGAAGGCUUAUGUGUGUAUGCAGGAGCUGGCGCUCCAUGAUCUGUUGUCAACUUCUUCCCACAUACAACUAGAUUGAUUGGGACUGUCGUGUGCGUGGCCAACACAUGGGUCACGUAACAUAGUGUAAUUUUUGUUGGUUAUUAUUACUUCUGCUAAUUGAAAAGACAGUGCACCUGUCAUUUCCGUCAUUUUUUUAUUAUUACCUUUCUAUGUACAGAUGAUCUAGAUUUAAGUGCAUAGAAUGGAAUAGCAAACUCCCAGUGCAAAUAAGUUGCCACAACGACAAUCUCUUAGAGCUUGAUUAUUCCCUCUUAAAAAAGUGAGUUUGAUUAUUGACUUAUCUGUGUAAAUAUCAAGAAACCUUUAUAAUUGGUGCCAAGUAUCAGAAAUCCAAAAUUAAAUUUUCUCACUAAACACAAUUCUUGUGCUAAUUGGUUAAAAUCAAAUGGUUUGAUACAAGCUGGUUGAUAGCAGAUCAGUAUAAACAUAGCAAAAAAAGAACCGGUGACAUGUCGACCUGUCCAUAUCCUAAUUAAACAGGGCACCGGCAAGCGAAUUCGACUUCGGCUUGCGUGACCGGAGACAGCGGCACCGCGCCUCGUCAGCGCCUGUCAACGCGAGCCAAAUCUUCCAUUGCAAUUGUCUCCUCCCCUGCUUGCCCGCAGGAGCACAAGAAACCACUGCAAGGGAGGAUGAGGCUUGUGCAUCUCCCACAGGACGAUCCCUGGGAUUGGGCUAGGACAAAUUCAAAACCUAGCGGAUGCACUGCACGUACAAUCCACGGGAUGGGUCCAAGUUUUGGAGUUUGUGUCAGCAGCAGCUGACAGGCAAGGGGCGGUGUCAGAAGAAGCGAGCAUUGGGUUCACUCCAUUGUUGCCAUGGUGUUCACAUGUACGUAGUUUUGAGUUAAAAUUCUAUUGAAUUUGACCAUUUUUAUCCUGCUUUUUUUUACCAAACCAUUUUUAUCAUGUUUAAUUAUCUACGGCUGCGCGCCAUGGGAGGUAAUUGUCAACACUGACGGCAUUAGCCUGAUGCAUCCCCUCCUUUCUUCAGAGACGGACUGCACAUGUAUGUAGUUUUAUCGACUUCAAACCCGUCGAUCGUAACUCUGUGUAAUUCAGUUGCUCAUGGCCCCUGGUUUGAUUAAUUGAUUAAUAAAGCUCAAAUUUGCCCUCAAAAAAAGUUGUGCGUACCUAAAAAAAAAGUUGUGCGUGUGACAAUGUUGAAAGUGACACAUUCAUCUCUAUCUCUACUACUUAUAAAAGCACCAACAUAUUUUUUCAAUGUCCAUCCCACUAAACGUGCACAGAUUACUUAUAGUCCCAUGAUCAGACUCACUAAACACAGAUUACUUUCUAAGCGUUUAGUAAUUACUCCCGGAGGCUCAAUUCCACCCGGCAGGAGAUAAGGUACCGUCUGCUCUCGCAAGGAACACACCGGAUCCUCGCGCACCCCCGCCGCUUAUCAAGCCAGACUUCUCGCGUCCGCUCAAAUCCUCUCGCUGCCGCUGCCAAACUCCUACUCCUCCUGCCCCGUCGCCUCGCGGGCCUCGCACCGCCCUAUCCCCUGCCCCGCCGCCGCCCGUCCCCAUGCCCUCAGCGCGCUCCCCCGCCCGCCUGCCCUAUCCAUCAGUCAGCCUGGCAGGAGAAAAUCAGCCUCAUCCCCCGUCAAUGACCAGUGCGCCUGGCCGCCGUUUCCGGCCAACUCCGCCGCCCCGCAUGCCCCGCCCCACGCAACGCCGCCGCUCGCCGUCGUCGCCGCCCCACCCCAGGCGCCCCACCCCACGCGCCUUGUCCCGCCGUCGAGCGCCCCGCCCGCGGUAUCCCUUUUGCGACCUCCGUCGAGCACCCCGGCCGCGGUAGCCCUUCUGCGACCUCCGUCCCCCGGGCACCACGCCGCUGCCCCACCGCUGCUCAUCACGACAUCACGCCAACACCGCAUUAGAGGUUAGUGCUUCAAUCUCAGAUGAAUUGUUCCAUUGCGUUGUGUCCGUGUAGGUCUUUUUCAGCCCGAGGGGUUUACAUUGACGCAACAAUAAUAGUGUAAGAAGGAUGAUUAGCUAGCUCCUUUCUCUAUCUUGCAUGCUGCAUAAGUUAGGAAGUACUGGCUUUUUGGGUUUUUCGUUAGGUAUUUACAUGCUUUUUACUGGGAGAAGACUUUGUGAAAUGGACCUGACUCUCCCAUUCUUUCUUCUACAGAUCAGGAGUGCUUUUUUUUCUAAGGCUGAUCAUGAAGUUGUUACUAACUCUGAAGCUAAUAUUCUGAAUUUGAUGCAGUCGGAUGUCGGAUUGCUUCAUAGAUUGCUGUUAGUUCUAGGGCUCUAUAUAUGCCAUUUUGUUUUCCUGUAGCAAUUAAGCACUACAUCUAUAAGGGUGAUACAACUGAUCAAACAUCACUCAUGGCCUCUCUUCUUAUCAGGGGAGAUGAUAAGAUGUUUGUACUAAAAAGUGUACUAGAUUUGUGGAUGUGACCUUCGUGUUCGAUUUGUGCCCAAGUCCACAAAUCCAAAUAUCCAUUGAUUCCAUAGUUAUAAUAGACAUUAUUACCAUUAAUCCAAUGGAAAAUUGAGAGGGAGAAAGUAUAAAGAGAAAAGGGGACUUACUAACGGCUGUAUAUUUAUUUGUAUUUUUUUGCGAGAUAUUUGUAUUUUAUGAUGCAGAAAAUUAAGCAUGAGUUGAUCCAUAUGCUCUACGCUUUAUGGGCUUAGGGCUUUGUGUCCGUACCCCAAAAUAAACUCUGCGGAUCUUAAAGGCAAAAGUUAUAAGUGAUUAUGGAGAAUUUUGUACUAUAGACAGGAGUUAUAAGUCCCUAUCUGUUUACUACAAAUGAAUUGCGGUCUGUAUUUUAAAUACAUAGAUGAACCAAUGUCUGUAAAAAGCUUCCAGAUAUUCUUAAAUAAGGAGUAGAAACUUAUGACUCAAUGUACAUCCUCCACAUUAUUACAUUGGGCAUACAUUGUUUGGUAUUGUGCAUUCUUUCUCAGUUGUUCAGUUAGCUUGAACUACAUAAAUCCUUGGCUCUGUGCUGCUGCUGCUACUGUUACCAUGCACUGGAGAUGACGAAAAUAUGGGAAGACAACCCAAAAUACCUGUUGUCUCUUCAAAGGAAAAGAUCAAAGAGAGGGGAAAAAGUGAACGAAUAUAUAUCUUAUUUCCCACAAAUUUUCUGAUCUGAGGUUAAAUCAUAGUAUAGAUGUCCAUCUUAUUACAGACAUAUAUAAGAAAUAAUUAGAAGAGUUUUUUUAUGGCCGUGACCGAGCAUGCAUAUUCUUUUAGCUUAGACAUAUAAAUUAUCGAUGUUGUUGGUCUUUCUCAUGUAUGGGGUUGUAUAUCUGCAAGCAAGGGGAUGGCUGACCAUUUCUGCUGUGUUGCAGUUGCAGUUGUCCGUUCUUGUGAUGGAACUAUCUCUGAUGAUGAUUCAACACCGCUUGUUGUUGUCAUACUUGGAUGAAUAUCUCUCAUAGUUGGAAUUUGUUUUCAUGUUUGGCUUCAGUUAUGAGAAGGAGAAGGAUAAGUGUUACUAUUAUACAUGGAUUGGCAAGAAUGGCAAGUAAUCAUGGCUACUACUUACAAAGUUACAAACCAUAUCUUGGUGUUGGUCUGGGACCUUUGUCGGUAGCUUUGCACUUCUAAAUGAAACUUGGAUGGAUUUUGUCUGCCGGCCAUAUUAAAACGGCUUGUUGACUGUGCCACCAAUUAUUUAUUGGGCUUAUGAAAUGUCAGUUAAAAUUAUAUUACAAGCGUCAUAAGAGUAUGAUGGAACAAUACAGACUAAAGUUGAGGAUAAUCCUAAAAGAGUUGAUGUUGAACUGGGUUUCAGGUGACAACAGGUGAUUAUUUUGAGCUAUAACUCUUUUUUAUUUUUGAGCUAACUGUAAAUAUUGAUGUAUUUUGUAAUGGAAUCUUCAUUGGUGUUACAUGCCUCAACACACAUAAAAGGCCUCUCCAACUAUCUCUUAUUACUCUCCAUAUGUUGCUCGGUAAUAUGGAAAUGAAAAUUGUACGGCUUAAAGCUACUACAAGGAAGACCAUCGAGUUGCCGGCUUUCAAACAAAGUAUGUUUCUAACCGACAUGAAAAUAUAUAUCAAUACUGAUACUGACAUUUAGAUCCAAUGAAUUUAAGGGCGAAUGACCAGCUUGGUCAGUGGUUAGUCCUAUGUAACCAAAACGAAGAUGCAUUCCUGUCGCCUGUCGGAUAACCAACCUUGGCACCUUGCCCAUUGUUAUUUGCGGUUGACUUCUUUCUUUUCAGGCCUGCAUCUGCCCGUGUCCAAUUCCUGGGCAUGCAUGUCUUGUUUUGUUCACUUGAUAAUCCACGCCUUCGAUACAGAGCAGCCUUUUUCUGCCUUCUGGGCAUGCCCUGGCACGAACGAACGGUGCGGAAACCCCAUUUGGUGCCUAUUACUUCGCCACCACUUUGCCUUCCGCGCUAAGCAUUGGCGCCGCGCCGCGCAUCGCCAUCUCCCUCCGUCGACACAGCGUACCGCGUCCGUCCCAACGCCCACAGAUCACAACCCGUUUGACAACGACUUGGCAAAAACGCAUUUACCCACCCACGUCUUGCCUAUAAAACACGCCCCGGACUCCACUUCGUUCGAUAAUAUGCGGAGUUCGAUCGAUCGUCCCCGUUUCUUCAGCAGCAGUGGCCGUCGCCCUCUAGGAGCACCAGAUUCCCACCGCACUCCCGCGGCUCGCGGCAGCAACCCGAACCGGACGGCGGCAUCCAUGGCCGAGGCGGCGCGCCAGGGGCGGCGAUUCGGCGGCGUCGAGGACGCGCCGGCGGGGCGGGAGAACGACCUCAAGGCCAUCGAGCUCGCCCGCUUCGCCGUCGCCGAGCACAACAGCAAGGCCGUAAGUUCAAGUUCAUCCGAUGUCCCGAUCCAAACAGUUUUAUCUCCGUUUAUUUUGUUUAGUCUGAUCUCGUCGUGAUCUUGAUAUGUUGGGCGCAGAACGCGGUGCUGGAGUUCGAGAGGCUGGUGAAGGUGAGGCAGCAGCUGGUGUCCGGGCUCAUGCACCACUUCACCAUCGAGGUCAAGGAAGGCGGCGCCAAGAAGACCUACGAGGCCAAGGUGUGGGAGAAGGCCUGGGAGAACUUCAAGCAGCUCCAGGACUUCAAGCCGGCCGCCUGAAGAUGUACAACAACAGCCGGUGCUUGUUGUCGGAGCCUACAUAUCGAUGUCUCAUGUAUUAUAAUGGAAUAAGCCUCCGUAUUACCUGAUAUAUAAUCCACACAUGGAUGAUAUUACUCACAUAAUGGAUCUCUCGCAUAACAGAAAUAGCAGAAAACGUUAUACUAGUCGCGCCAUGACAGAAGUAUUCCAGCAAGAACAAUGGAAGUUCAUAAGCCAACCAAAAAAAGCAUUUUAACACAGCAUUUAAUCUCAGAGCAACCAGGAUUUACAACUGGUGAACCUGUCUACAUAAAUAGCUGCCACUACAAAAGACUACUGGCUGGUUACCGAGCCAUCAGCAUAUGUCACAUCCUAAACUACUUCUGCAGCAUCUGCGGGUACACAUAUGAUACAGGAGAGUUGCUACGGAGUAAAGCUGGCGCUACCAGGAUGUACAAUGAAGUCAUCACUACCUAUGAGCUUCUACAUCAGUCAUUCUUCAUUGUCAUAAUCUUCAUCCACCUCUAAUCUAUGGUCCGACGACAGCGCAAACUGAACCGGGUCCAUGCCCAUCUUGCUCAUCUCAGGCAGUUGCCAGCCCAGGAAAUCCUUGGUCUUCACGUCUUCAAUCGACUGUGAGACUGAGGGUCCUGCACUGGGUGCGGCCACGCUGGCCACUGGAGCUUCAGGCUGGAAUUGCGCUACUGUAUCCUCAUAUUCAUCAAGAUCUAAGUUUAAGUCAAUGUUCCUUAAGGAGGCCCUGGCAUU